rnacentral:lncRNA from 1 species
UAUAAGAGCAUGAUACAUUGAAAUCCACACAAUUCAUCUCACUUCUGUUGUGCUACUUUCUAUUAUCAUAUUAAUUCCCUAUGAAAGAUUACAAGAAAAUGAAAUCCAGACAUAGUCCAAAUUGAUGUCUACUCUAUAGUCUAGCUAUUUCCAUUUGCAUUAAGUAUUUUAUUCAAUAUCCGAAAGAGUAACCCGUGCUGUAGUUGAACCUGGAUCGGAUGUUGUGAUUAUUAUAAGCAGGGUCCCCAUAAUCAACUGCCUUUAUCACCAUUGUUUCACGUCGUCCAUCCUGUUCUUGAACUGCUCCAAACACAAUCUCGUUUGAUUCACAGCUUUGCUCGUAGUAUGUUUGAGGACUAGGCGACUGGUGCUUCUCGUGAUGCUGAUAUACUUGUGGCAGAAACUGUUGUUGAUGUUGAUGUUGCUGAAAAUUACCGUGCCCAUGUGCAUUCCCAUUCCAUCCACCAUAAUGGGAUUGACUUUGUCUCAUAUGUCGUGCUUUCUCCGGCUCUUUGUUCAUUAAUGGAUAGGUUUUACGGGGUGUAGGAUCUCUCGUGUCUAGGGGCGGGGCUUCAUCUUCAUCUCGAAUUACAUAGCUUUCCUGCAUUGGCCAUGCACUUGAUUGUUUGUGAGGGUAAUGAUAAUGCUGCUGGACAUGAUGGGGGUAAGGCUUCUUUCUAAAACCUGAGAACAUUCCUCCGAAUAUUUCACCCACAGUUGAACCUGUGUUCAGAACAAGCCUUCCCAGCGAUAGAAACAAGUUUUCCUCUGGUUUAUCGUAUUCAUCUUCUGACGGAAUUAAGGGAGGCCUCACUGACUUCAUAUUUCUCUGAUACGGUGCAUGUUGCACGCCCCUAACAGGAGUCCGUAGAUCGUUCUGCCAAUCAAAAGGAAAUGCAUAAAAAUAUCAUUCUGCCAAUCAAAAAGGAAAUGCAUGAUGUUCUGCACUAAUUCAUCCAUUCUGUUAAGCUAUAUGUGUAGUGAGUUUGGCCUUGACAUAGAUAACGAAAAUUUCUUAGAUUCCUAAAAUAUUUAUGGUCAUUUAUGCAUAUUCCUGCCUUUGUUUUAUCCAUCCUUUUUGUACCAAUUCCUAUGAAAGGAAUUAAUCAAGGUCAUUAGUUGCUUACGCUGUUCGAUGAAAAUAGCGCUCCAAUUCUACGUUGUAAUAAAGCCAGCAUGUAACCGAAAAAUCCAGCAGCACAAAGCAGUGCCAAACCUGCAAGGAUGAAAAUAUACUUUCUUCUGAACUUUUUUUUGUAAUUAGUGGUGAAUUAAUUGAUAACUGGAAAGAAUUAGAAAGUUUGGAAUUUUACCAAGAUGGAGAUUGUUGUCGUCAAACUGGUUGUGUGAACAGUCAUCAUCAUUGAGAUGAAUUUCUCUAAUUGCCCUGUUUCCUCUGUCUAUAACUAAAAGUGAACAGCUACUUCCAACAUAAACCACAUCGAAGUCGUCGGAAAACUUUGCAUCUUCACUUGGCCCAUCAAUAUGACCUCCACCUCGUGCCGACUUCCCUCCAGCAAUAGUUACAACUCCUGAUAUACAGAAAAUAUGCUUGAGUCAUGCACAUUACUCGAUUUAAUUUUUUAGUUUUCUCUUAUCGAACUAGUAUUACUGUGUGAUUUUUACUAAAUUACAUGCAUGUCACAUUUAGAUUUCAGAGUAGAAAGCCUCAAUCAAGACAAAGGUGAGGCAGACAUCGAAAAUUUACCAGCAUCACUAAUUUUUCUGAUAGCCAUAUUUAUGGUAUCUGCAACAUAUAUAUUUCCUUGAUCAUCCAUGGUAAGUCCUUUAGGAUGGUCCAUCCUUGCUUCUCGUAGCCUCCCAUCUAUAUGCCCCGAGUAUCCUUCAGGAGAUCCGGCAACCAAUUUUGGACGGCUAUCUACAGUUCAAACGUCCACUCAAUCAACAAGUCAAAUUUGAUUAAAGUAUAUAUAACAUUACAUCACUCAUUCGAAGUGCAUGUCUGCAUGUAAAAUACACAUCCCGUUUAUCCAAAGGAAGGAAAUGAAAAGCGAGUAAAGCUGGACUAUAGAGCAUAAUAGAAUUUUACAAGUGACAGUGAUGAAACAUACCACUCUUGCCCCAACAAAUUAAAAGUUAGCUCAUUUUGAUUGGAUUAAAGAAAAGGAUCAAAAGAGAAAUUAUGGAAGCAAGUGAAGGAGUUGAUUACAAGAGAAAAUGAAGGCAACUUAAAUAUGUGUUUGGUAUGACAGGAAAUGAUUUUUCAGGAAAAUAAUUUCCUAGAGGAAAUGACUUCCACCAUACCAAAACACAAUCUAAGAGUUCAAACAGUGGAGACCAUCAAGACCCUGCCUGCUUUAAGAAGUAGUACCAUGCUUUACCAGGGCAGAGCUACAAUAUUAGCUACGGGUUCGAACCUAACAGCUUUUGCUUAAAUCCUGUAUUUGUAGUGGAAAAUUCAUUAAAUAUGUAAUAAUAUUUAAUUAUGAACCAAGUAACUAAAACGAGUUAUGAGUUCGAUGAUAAGUUCAUAACCCGUAAUCCUGACUCCGCCUAUGUACUUGACAACUUUUGUGCUAAAAGCAUUUGAAGAUAUAUUGUAAUUCUCAUUACAGGGCCACCCAGGAUGAUUCAAUGUUUGUAAUGUCUUAGGGAAAUGACUAUUCCAUAACAUCUUGAACUCAAACAGUCUAUGUUCCUGCUGAAAGAAAAGGCUAAAGCCUAAAGUAAUAGGCAGGUAAUGAAUAGUACAGAGGCAUGCCUAAAUUCUUUCCCCACAAGACUCACAACCUUUUAUCUUGGAUUGAAAAAGAUGGAGGACCCAAUAAAAAUGGUCGUCUCACUCAGUCCCAGAAAAGAAUAAAGCAGAGAAGUUAGCCUAGCACUCACUCAAGGAACUUUGUCCUUAAAGAAAAGCAGAAGCUAACAAAUUUAGAAAAAAGAUGGAAUGCUUCUAGAUUCAAGUUAGCUAUAAUUAAUAAAAGAUAUUGCGAAACUCCAAAAGUAUAGUCUUCAUUUAAAUAAAAGCAAAUAUGAAACCCAAACAUAAAAGUACAUUGUAAUAAAAAUUCAGAUUCGCAGAGAGCUUGUUAAUGAAUCAUUUAGAAUAAGAGAAUAUUUUGAAAACGACAAGAUAGAGAGGAAUAUUAAGUCCUUGAAUAUGUCAAUACAACCGUAAUGAACAAAUAAAGAGAGUGAUAGUAUUGUAUAUAUCAGUAGUGAUAACAUAAUUAACCAAAUAAAAGUAUGUGAUUUUUAACAGCUUAAGCAUUUAAAUGAGAUAGUGACACACUUCAACAUGAUAUCAGAGCAGGCAGAAGUCUUGUUCAAGUGUCAUCCACGUGCUUGGCCAUGAAAAAGAAUUAAACGGCGUGUGUUAAAAACAGGGGCGGAGCCAACAUAUAUGUUACGGGUUCAGCCGAACCUAGUAAUUUAGGUCCAAACCUUCUAUUUGUCUUAAGAAAUCCAUUGAAUAUAUACAAAUUCUUAAUUUAGAACCCAGUAUCUUAAAAGAACUAGAAUACCGAACCCAAUAACUUUAAAUCCUAGCUCCAUCUUGGAACUUGAAAAAAUAAUUAUAUAUAGAAAAGUAUGUUCUCUGUAACAACUUAACCUUACAGGGAAGUAGAACAAGUGUCAUUUGUUAAACAAGUUCCUUUAUUGUUUGAGUUACACUCACUAGACUAACUAGUAGAAGGGGUCUUUAAUGAAGAAUUAUAGAAGUGCAGAACCAAAUGAAACGCUCUAAAUAGCAACUUACAUCGAGACAAUGGUGUUGAAACCCUGUAAAUAUUACUAUUCUCAGAGUCCAAAAUGAGAACCUCUCCAGUUGAAGAAACUUCUACUGAGUAAGGUUCAAUUCCAAGCUUGCUUCCAUCAAACACAGUUUCAACAAUAUAUCCACUCUCAAACUUGACCAUCGAACGGCUGGAAACAGCUGAUUAAUCAAACAAACCCCAUCAUUUCCACCAACAAUCAAAAAGCACAACUAACAGGGCAGCCCGGUGCAUUAAGCUCUCGCUAUGUGCGGAGUCCGUGGAAGGCCGGACCACAACGGUCUAUCGCAGCAGUCUUACCUUACAUUCCUGCAAAGAGCCUGUUUCCAAGGCUUGAAUCUGUGGCUUUUGGUCACAUGGCAGCAACUUUACCCGUUACGCCAAGGAUCCCCUUCCACAAUUCACUAACAAUUGAAAGGAAAAAAAACAUGGGAAAUAUACCAAGAAUGUACCUGUUUUUGCAGGCGAUUUUAGUGACCACAACCACUUAAAUAGCACAGAAGCAACAUUUGUGACAACCCCACCAACAAUCUCUGCAUAUACAUGAAAAAGACUCAGACUUUAUUAAACAAAACAAAGAUUUGAGAUUAAGGGGUCAUUGAGUUAAGCAAAUGAAACAUGCACUAACUUGCAGCAGGAGUGGCUGAGGUUGAGGCUGAGGCAGAUGAAAAUUCAAGAAGUAGAAGAAAGAUUAUGAGAGAUAAGAUGAUAAAAUUCCUUCUCAUGGUUCUUGAAAUGGUCAGUUAAGUUGAAAUAACACGAACAUUUUAAUUAUAGGCAAAAAUACUGGUAGACAAAAAGCUCACAAACAAUGUCUCCUUAGACUUUAUACAUGGUAAUCAGAAUAUAUAAAACUUAUUACUUUAGUGAAAGGACAGAGCAGACAUAUAUACAGUGAAACAGAGAGUAUUAUAUUAAGGAAGCUAAAAACUUGAAGUUAACUCUAUUCAAAAAUUGGGUUAAAAGAAAGAUAGGAAUCAAAUGCUUCUACUUUUCCUUGUUAAUUUUUCUUUAAUAAACAGUAAAUAGAGUGGAUUUCAGGACCAGAGUGAGAUUUUUGAGUUGAGAUUUAAGAUGGGGUGGCAGGUGGGCGCAUGACUGACAAAGAGAUGAAUUCUCUGAAAUACCCUUGGGCAGUCAGGUACUGUAAUCGAGAUUGAUAAGGUUAAUGCUGACAUUUUCGUCUAGAAAGUUAUCUUCCCUAGACAAACAACAGCAACAUAUGUCAGAGAACCGAUGAAUCACAACUCAUGCGUGCGUCUGCUAAGCCGGUUGUUCUGUUUCUUUAACUUGUUUUUUAUUUUAUUUUUCAGAUUUCACUUACCGCUUUUUGGAUGGUUGUUUAUGUAUUAUAUUAUUACUUUAAAUAUAAUAUUUAUUUUAAUUGUUACUCAAACAAGUUAGUUAUAUAUAUACACAAGUGUAAGAAUUAUUAUGUUAACAAGUUUUUUUUUUUUAAUGAAGUUGGUGUUCGGACGGCUUGCGCACUUGACUAACUUGUCUAUGUGAAUACCUUGUCUAAGGUAUUUUUUUAAUUCUACAUGUGUAUUGCUAAAAAAAUUGUAGCGAAUAACUUUGUCUAUCAUGACUUAGACAAAUAAGAAAAUAUAACAUAGCGCUUUUAUCUCCACGGAAAAUUGAAUCAGAGAUCUAAUGAUUCUCCACUCACUUCUUUGAUUAUUAGGCUAAUCCUAAGAGCGUUUUAAUUAUAUAUCUUAUUUUUCAAAUUAGUACUUUACCUAAUAUAAAUAAUUACUUAUAAUUAUCUUUCAAGAGUAGAUUUUAAGAACUUUUGUGUAUAAAAGUUAGAAUUCAAUUGGUAAAUAGUAGCGGGGAAAGAUUAAUAAGAAGGUGCAAUUAUGCACGUGCAAUUUUUAACUAACUAUACUAAUCUUAUUGUAACAACCAAACUGCAAAAUCAAUCUCAAGAAUAAUGUUUGUUUUCUUCUCUUUUCGUUUCUCGCGUUUUUCUUCCUUUUUCUUUUUCUCUUUUUGUUUGUUUCUCUAAUUGUCUUUGAGAAGAUUGUAUAAAAGUUGUAAUCCCAUUGGGGUUAGGUAAUUUGAGACUAAAAAAAUAUGGUAUACUUGUCCUUUUUCCUAAUCAUCACGUUUUGUCAAGAAAGAAUAAGCAAGCUUGGCAUGUCGACUCAACUUUUAGUCAUUUCUUAAUGUUGAGUUUGAUGUUCCAAGAUGCAAUGCGUCCUCUCUACUCAACUAAAAAAUUCACAUUUAUCCAAAAAUUCUACAUGUUACAGCAUAAUUACAUAAGACUUUAAGUUUGAUGAACUAACAAUAGGAAAAAUAUCAACACAAUCAUAAGGUAAAAAUGGUAACAUAUAAAUCCUUAACAUUAAUAGUAACAUGGUAAAAAUAAUAACUAACAUGCUAUCAUAGAUUAAAGUGGUGUAUAUAAUUUAUAAUCAACGUGAUGGAAAAAAUAGUCUUUUGGGCUUAGUACACUAAGAAAGAGUGUUAGCUAAUAAGUUGGCUCAUUAGACGGUCUAACCCUAAGUUUUAAUGCAGUCUACAUAAACACCACUAUAAAUGUUGGGAGACUGACUUGUUCAUAAGGGAGGGUUGCUAGGGUUGGUACGUAGUUAUCUGUAUCCAAGAGGAAUAAUUAGGUUAUGGAAACAAAGAAGUUCAUCCGCGCAGCGCCUCCAUAAAGCAAGUAAAGCAACCGGUUUAGGCCCCAUAUUUGUGGGGCCCCAUUUUUUAUCGCACCUAAUAGACUCAGAGACGGAUUCAGAACAGUGAUUCACCGAAGCGACGAGACCUUGAAAGCUGCUUUUUCAAGUGUCAGUAGCGGAUUUUAAGCUUAUGGGUUCCUACAACAAUCUCAAGUUAAUCUAAAUGAUAAUUGGAUCAACGAACUGGGUUCCAAGUUAAAUAUUCUUAUAUUUUUAAUAAAUUUUUUAAUACAAAUACAGAGUUUAUGCAAAAGUUACUGGGUUCACGGGAACCCGUAUCCUUUUCUCUGGAUCCGCCCCUGAAUAGACUAUGUAUAAGUUUAAAAAAGAGUUCUGUAAAGUAAAAAAAAUUUAUUUCUUUCUAACAAAUAUAGAGAAGAAGGAUUUGCAACUGCUAUAAUUUCUACUAAGGAAAUUGCACUUAAAAUGGAUAUCGAACCUGAAUUUUGUAAGAAACGUGUGCUAUAUAGGAAGUAACAAUUUGAUGCAAAUAUUAAUAAUGAAAUCCCAAAAUCUUUCGAAGAGUCCUUUAGAGUUAAUUACUUUUAUACAUAAUAGACAAGGUUAUUUUUUCACGUCACAAUAGAUUUGAACAAUUCGAAGCAUAUGAAAAUAUUUUUAGUUUUCUAUUUGACAAUAAAAAUUAAGAUCACUAGAUGUUGGAAAUUUGAAAAACUAUUGCCUUAAUCUUGAAUGUUCCUUAAAGCAUAAUAGUCAAUUCGAUAUUGAUGGUUUAGAUUUAUUUUCUGAAUUAAAAAUAUUAAGAAAAAUAGUACAAUUAGAAGAUAACAGUUUAAUUGAUACACUUAAUCAAAUAAAAAGAUUUAAUUCUUUUCCAAAUGCCUAAAUUGCUUAUGGAAUAAUGCUCAUAACUCAAGUUACCGUUGCUUCAGCGGGAAAAAGUUUUCAAACUUAAAAUUGAUAAAAUCUUAUAUAAGAACAACAAUAUCACAAGAAAGGUUAAGUGGAUUCCUUAUAUUGUCAAUUGAGAAAUACUAAGAAAAUUAAAUAACUAUGUAUCUAAAAAAUACUAAAAAAAAAAUAGACUUCAAAUCAAUUUAAAAAAAAUUAAAAAGUUAAGGUCCCUCAUAAAUUUUGGCUUUAGGCCACAAAAUUCGUCGGGCCACCCCUGGAUACAAGUUGUUGUUGUUGUAAAUACGCUUGUGUAAAGAAAAAACCUGUAAGUCUUGUACUAUUUAUACUGUAUCGUUUUGAUGUAUACAAUGUUUGGAUAGAUUGUCUUGUUUGUUGUUGUUCCAUGAUGUCAUGCACCAAUAAUAUAUGAAAAAUAAACUUGUAAUAUUAUAAAAUAAAAUAAAAAGUAAGGUGAUAAAAUAGAUUUAUUUAAUAAUAAGUAAGGGCAAGAUGAGAGAAAAAAAUUAGAUAACGACGCGAUCACACCAAAUCUCAUUCCAUAAAGUGGUACUUUUUAUCGUUACGUAGCGACGGAUUUAACAAUAUGAUACAACAAAAUUUAAGUAACAAAUCAAACAAGCAUUGUAUUUAAAAUAACAAUACAACCAUCCAAACAAGUUGUACUAUACGACGAUACAUUAUAAAACGAUACAUAACAACUAUCCAAACAAGCUGAAACUAGCGUAUACAUGUUUUACUACAUCCGUAAGUCUCCUAAACUAGCGUAUACAUGUUUUAAUACACAACGCGAAAAGUAAUCAUCUUUCACAGAGUAUAUGUGUACCUGAUAAAUGUAGUUGUAUAAGCAAGACAGUAGACAAAUUGUUAACCUCAUAUUUUCAGCUCUUUAUUCAAUACAUGCAGCUCUAAGCUCAGUAUUCAGUAUACUUUUUCGUGGUAUUGCAUUGUACAAAGCAAAAUUCAUGUACCAGCACAACAUUUACAGUUUUCACAUUUGAAAUACAAAAGUAAGAAUGAAGAAAAAAAAGCAUAUGCUACAGUUCUAUCCUUUAAAUAGAAAAGGAAAGAACAAAUUAUACAUGGUAAAUCAUUCCAACCUCCAAAGUUGAAGCACGAGGGAAGCUCAAUGCAUAUGUUGGCCCGCGACAAUUCCUUCUCAAAAAGUCAUAUCCUAUGUCAACCACCAGUUUUUUUAUCAAACUUGAACCUCUCUUUGCUCUUACAUAACAAUGUCCAAGGAUAAACGCCAUGCCUGCUUCCCGCGCUUCCAUCAGUUCUUGCAACUCUGCACGAACGCUUAAAUCCAUUUGUGGACUCUCUGGCACCAGAAAUCUCACUCUCUUUCUUGGUACUUCUGGGGAACUGAUCUCAAUCAUUUCUGUAUCUUUAGUGUCUAUGUCCUCGCACAUUGUUACUCCAUCAACAUGUGUUGAAGUUGUUCCAAUAACUGUCAGUUUCUCGUUGUCGUCUAUACCUUCAGCAGCUUCAAAACUCUGUGCUGGUCCCUCUGAGCGGAUGAAUUCAGCUAUGCUACAAACUAGAUCUUUUUCAAACUCUACGUCGUCCAUGUGAAUAUCUCGAUAACCAUAUCGUGCUAUACAUCUGUAGACGCGGUACUCUUUUGGUCCAAUUCUUCCCACCAAGAACCUUUCUUCAGGUCUCACGUGAGGUACUGGUACGGACUUGACACAAAGGAAAACAAGAACCUGGUGGAAAGCAGGUAGGUUGGUGACGAAAUGUGAGAAAAUUGCUGGAAUUCCUGAAACAAGCUCGGUGUGGAUGAGGCCAAUGCCACGGACCCGUGUAAUACCCAGGUUGGGACUCAAGGUGAGCAGCCAGUUGAUGGGAAUUUUGUUUUCAACAUCAAACUCGUACUUUUUCAGGGUGCCAUAAUGCCAACUGUACAUGACGACUAGAAAUAUCAAAGAGAGAACAAUCGGUACCCAGGCCCCUUCGAGGAACUUGAUUAGGGAAGCUGAAAAGUAGAGGGCUUCAAUGGAACCAAAGAAGAAUAUAAAGCAAAUGGCAAGUAACACGUUUUUGUGCCAGCAGAGGACAAUGACUAGAGACAUAAAGCACGUAGUGACCAGCAUAACAGUUAUAACUGCCAGACCUGCAAGAGAAAAAGGUUGCACUGUAACAAAUACGCGUAGUGAUUUCAAACAAAAUUUAGUCCUACACUUUCUCAGCCUUUUGGCUAAGAUCGAGGGAAUUUCAAUAAAUUCAGUUUACAUUUAAAACUGUUCAAUUGCCUGAUGCACAAAAUGAUAACUGCAAGUUGCGAUUAUCUGGUGAAUAUUUAUUUUGGUACACCUAAAGUUCAAUUGUAGUCUGUCUAUAACAUUUUCUAUGAGGUUGAGAGUUAAUUAACUUCCUCUCAGUAUCAGAAAUAACACGUGCACAUUUGGAAGAUCGUCUUUUUACAUUAUGUGGCUUGCAACUUAUCCUUGCAUUUUUCCCUAUUAAUAGUAAAGUAUAACUAAUCAAGAGGUUAUAUUAUUAUAAUAAACUACCAAGAUCAAUUUGAGAUCAGAAAAUAUCAGGAAAAAUGAAUUUUCUAUUCUACCCACUGAUGUGUUAAAAGAGAGUUAUGUUCCAAUCAGAAAAGAAAAGGAGGAAUAUGUAAUAAAACGUGAAACUUAAUCAGGCUUUUAUAUAACAGACUCAGAAUCCUUUAGUGACUUCAUGGACAAUGCAUAUUAUUUGGCUGUUAAUGAUACCUGAUGCGUUGCUUAUGUGUUUCGUGUCACGGAAGCCAAUAGUAACUGCCAAGCAUAGCAACAUCAACGUCCAGUUUAUCUCUGGAAUGUAAAUCUGGCCAUGGAUUUUGGACGAUGUAUGUACUAUUUUGACCCUUGGGAAGCAACCCAAAGCAGAACAUUGCUUGAUUAUAGAAAACGUCCCAGUGAUGAUGGCCUGGCUUCCAACCACUGCAGCAAGUAUAGCAAUAGCCAGAACAGGAUACCGCAGUUUUUCUGGGACAAUGAUGAACAUAUAAAUUAGUUGAAAUGUUUAAACUAGAUAUACAUGCUGCAUUCAAAUGCACGAAGAGAAAAAGGAAAGAAAAAAAGAGAGAAUGUAGCGAAGAGAGGAGCAAAGUACUUACCAGGUACUGAUACAUAGAACCCGAUGUGGUAAUCACCUUGGAUAACAUGAUGCUUGGAAAGAUACGCAGCUUGUCCCAUAUAAGCAAGAAUUAAUGAUGGGUAAACAACAAACGUAAAAGCUAUCUGCAGAGAAGCAGCUCUUAUUGGGACUUGGUUGAAUUUGCAGUUGCCAACGUAAAGCAUUUUAACUCCGUACCUCUACAAGGAACUUUAUUCACAUUGAACAAAACAUCUGCAGAUAAUCUCAGUUUGACAAUAAACACUCCAACACACAUUAGCUCAGUAUCUUACAAAAUGUGUGGUACACAUUUGACAGCUCUCAUAUGAAGCAUAGUUCAUCUCAGGAUACUGCUCUCAAGCAUGCCGAGGCAGCUUACUAAGCUAAGAUGACUAGAUUUGACCAAUCUUUUUCGAGAAAGUAAAGCUGGAAAGACUUGAGAACAUGAGUGAGUCAGUCCAAGGAAAUUUUGGAAAAUUUGAAGUGAUCAAAAGCAUCUAGAUGUUAUCCGACUUAGAUUAGGAGAGCAGAGAUUUGCAGGUAUGACUACCUAGCAUACAUCUAUUCAAGUUUUGCUAAUUCCUCAGUCACCUUGCAAUAAAUUAAAUGUUGUGCACCAGUUUGUCUAUCAAUGCUCCUCAUUGCAGUAUUUAACACAAGUUCAAGAAACUGAUACAAAACCAUUCAGUGCCAAUAUUUCUGGAAUGGGCAAAAGGGAAAGAGUGCCAAACAUACGAGGACAGAAGGAGUAAUAUGAAAGAUGGGUCAAAUAAUUAAGAGUAGUAACUUUAAGUCACAGCUGAAUGCUAAUUCAUUGUGUUCAUUUAACCUAGUAAAUACCAGUUACAUGCUUGAUUGAACAGUCUCUAUCUGAAAAGUUAGUCUUACAAUAAUAAGCUUCAAGAGUUGCAUAACAAAAUUACUUGAGUUAUUUACCUGAAUAGACAGCUGGGAAAAGUGUCCAAGAUCAGCAAACAUAGCUUCUGAACCUGAAAGUUGGACAAGCAAAGAGAGUAUAAAAUUAACUAGGAAGAAAGAAGGCCCAUCCACUGUUAAAAGAAUAGGUCAUAUGCCAAGAAAUGUCAAAUUCCCACCAAAAAUAUCAAGAGAACAAAUUUCACAUAAAGGAAUGCCGUACCUGUUAUACAUAAUAAAAUCCCACCCAGGGACAUCCAUCCUCCUCUUUGGGUCUUCUUUAAGAAUUUGUACAUGUAGUAUGGAGAUAAUGCUUGAUAAACAUGAGGGUUCCAGUGGAAGAUGUUGUACAGCCCAAUUGCACUAAUGCAAAAAAGCCAUGUAAUCACAAUAGGUGCAAAUAGAAAUCCUAUUCGAUGUGUCCCAUAGUGCUGGAGAAAAAAUAAGAACACAAGUAUCACACAAGCAACUGGAACUUCUACAUCUGCAGGGUAAAGAAAUAAUUCAGCACAUUAUUCAUUAGUUCCACAGUUGUUGUUUCUUGUUUCAACAAAAAAAUAAGGAUCUCGUGUUAAUAUGAUAUGAGGACAAUACUAACUAAUGACAUCAUCUUAACAGGCAAAACUAGAAUUCAGCAAUUAUAGAAACAAAAUAAGUUAGCUUCUGACUUGCAUAAUUUCAAAAGUUAACCAGAAAAAUCAUGUAAACUCCGAACAAGUUAAGAAAACAUCACAAUUGUAUCAGAUAUUACAGAGAACUACCUGCUGUUUCACUUCGCAAGUAAAUUAUUAAAGGCAAGGAAACAGGCAGACUUUUCACCUUUGGUUCGCUCAUGGACUAUUGAUUUUCUGUAAAUCAUUUAACUAUCAUAGAGGAAUAUAAGUAACCUCAGAAGGAUGUAGUAUGACAGAAAGUUGGAAUUUCAUCCAUACAAUUGAAUGGAACUAUUCUGGAAAUUAUAUGUCUGGUUUGAACCACAUUCUCAGACUACUUCCAAUACAGAAAUCCAUAAGUUAUGGGUAUGAGUCCAUCUUCGAGUAAACUUUUCAACUUACGAGCCAUAGGCAAUAUUUAUAUGAAUAUUAAGAUUUCUUAGCUUAUUUUCCAAACAAUUCCAUAGAUUGGUUAACAUUAUGCUGUCAAAGGGAUAUACUCAAUCAUUUAGGUAAAUAUUUUCUAGAGGACAUUCAUUAUCAUAAUCCACAAUGGUUAAUUGUAUCAAUAAAGGUUGAUGGACUUGAUUCAAGCCUUGUGCAUGUGAACUUAGCCUGGUAUUUAAAUGGAGAAAGGUAUAGGGGCGGGCACAUUAUCCCCGAGUUUCGAAGGCUAUGGUUGGUCCUAUAGGUUGGACCAGAGAGAAUUUUCUCGGUCAUCAAAAAAAAUCUUUUCCUGUGUUAGAAUGUCAGAAUGGUAGAUUGGAUAAAUUAUCCAAACCAGAAGUCAGACGAAAGUAUAAUGUAUAUAUUGGAUAAACUAUCUCUAAAAGCUCACAGGUGUAAGAAAACUUGUCUAAUGCAUUCUCCCAAUAUAUUUUCUUAUUUUCUCACAUUAUAUAUUAUAUCUCAGAUAUGCUUCGUGAUACAAGAACAAACAGAGAGGGCACUUGUCUUUAAGGAGCUCCAAGAGACAUUCAUACUAGUGCCAUAUUUUCUUCCUUUCUAUUUCAACAGAAUAACCAUUUUAUUCAUAAUUUCCAGUAAGUUAAAACAUUAUCCACCACCUCUGCUUUACGAAAUAAAAAAACUAUGUUUCUAAAGUUGAAACCUCACUUUAAAAAUUAGGAUAACAUCAAUGUGGUCUAUGGAGAAAGCACCUAACUUUAUUUCUUUAUUGAUGUUGAUAUGACUUUGAUUACCAUAUACAUUUUGUCUUAAUUUAGUAUUAAGGGACCCACAAUAAUGCAUCUUCAUUAAAUAUUGGUAACCUCUCCAUGUCACAAAUUGCACGACCAUUAGAAAAAGUUUCCAGAAAAGUGAACCAACUUAUUAUAUUAAAUACUCAAGUCUUGUUACAUCUAGCCCAAACACAUCUGAAUAAAGUAGGCAUAAAUCAAAAUAUAAUAAGUUAGAGAAAUCAAGAAAAACUAAAGAUAAUCACUUGAGAUCAGCCAUAAGGAACUGAUCUCUAUCUACCCCAACAGUUCAUUAUGAAACUAUUUCAAAUUAUUAUCUUCCCCAUUUCCCACCCGUAGGAUUAUACGGUAUGUUGUUGUUGUAUCUUCUCGCCUCGGCCAUAAACACUCACUGGUUCUUUUCAUUGAUCAGCCGGCUAGGGUAUCAGAAUAUCAUCUAUUAUUAUUCUUUGGCAUAACAAGGAUGAAAAUCUAUUAACAUAAUGGAAUAAAGCUGUAAAAUAAAAUAGAUAUAACUUUUGAUUCCUCAUCUUAUUCAACAAAGGGGUACGGGCAAGGGGCCAUAAGGGAACAAUAAAUCUGCCAAAAAAAUUUGGACUCACAUUGGUGAUGAUGCUUUGCCAUUGAAAGUUCAAGUCCAGAGACAGCAGAGAAUACUGCAGAUUCAAUGCACCAUAAAUUAAAUAAAAUAGGAAAGGAUUAAUUUAUCAGCAUCACAACAUCUCCAAUCUGGCAGAUAAACCAAGUCUAACACGGAUCAUACACAAAGGCGGAUUCAGAAACUAAAUUCAAUGAGUUCAACCUUUAUAACACGGAUUCAGAACUUGAUAUAUAUUGAAACUUCAGUAAUUUUUACAUAUAUGCUCCGCGUAGAAAAUACCUGAGAUUGCAGGGGUAAGGACUCCAUCACCAAUAACCAUACAAGUCCCAAUCAAAGCUAAAAUGAGCAAAAUUUUCUUCAAAAAUCUGUGUUUCUCAAGAGUUGAUUUCAAGCUCAUUCCAAUCCUAUCAGCUGACAAUUUUCUAUCAUUCUUGUACUCAUAUAAAUCCUCAUCAGCCAAUUGACCAUUAGGCAAAGUACUAACACGGGCAUGACGGCACAAUAAGGAAUACAAAGCAAAAGUCCCACCUUCACCAUUAUCAUCAGCUCGUAAUACUAUGAACACAUAUUUAAGCAAUGGAAUAAGAGUUAAUGUCCAAAACACAAAUGAUAAAACUCCAAAUAUCUCCUCAUUAGACUCUGAAUGAUGAAUAUCCUCUGCAAAUGUGCUCUUGUAUACAUAUAAAGGUGAAGUACUCAAAUCUCCAUACACCACACCUAAACUCUGAUAAGCUAAGGCUAAAACUGUCCUCCAAGAUUCUUUCUGCAACAAAAUUGGAAUAUCAAAAAUGACUCAAAAGCUCAAUUUUUUCAAACAUGGGUAACAUAAUAUUGCCAAAAAUCUAACCUUUAUUGGAUUUUCACGACCCCAACUUUCAAUAUCCAUUACUAGACUAAUCAAGAACUUGAAAAAAAGCUCAUACUUGGCAAAAUCUUGAAAUGGCUAGUGGUUGAGCAGCACUGCCUUUAGUUGAAGAUAUUGCAACAAAAAUCCAAGAAUUAUAAAGCUUUGGCCUUAUGAGUGGACUGAGAAAUUGAGCGACCCACAGGAAAGAACAUUUAAGGGACAGACACAAAACACCAUGAGGAAAAAACAAAGAUGAAAAAAAAAGGUUGGUGGAAAUUGGAGCUAAGCUGUUUUUUGUUAAAUAGAAAAAUGAUGACAAAAAUAUAGGAGCACACCUUUUGGUUCACCUUAAAUAAUGACACUAAUCCCUGUAAGAAAGGGCAUUAUCACAUACCUAAAACAAAAUUAUGGAAUAGAAAAUUUUCAACUUUAUAUGACAAGAACCCAAAUAUAUACGUGCAGAUGCACUAAAACAAGAAAUGUGUGAGGUUUUGUUUCUUGGCUGGAGGUUCUGGUAAUGGAGUAGUGGAAUAUUUUGAGUGGGUGGGGUGGGUAUGAAAUUCACCAGUAACACGUAAGCUACAGAGGCAACUGAGUUUUGGGGUGGGGGGUGGGGGUGGGGGUGGGGGUAAGGGGAGUGAGUUUUUGUCAGUGAAUGAAUGUAUUGACUGCAGGCCACCAACUUAGCUGAUAUUCUGACAUAUAGCACUCCCCAUUGAAAGCAACGGUUUAUUUGCACCACAAGCGUUUUAAUGGAAUAGUAAAUGUUAAGUCCUCUUAAUUAAAGAUUUCGGUUAAUGAAAUACUCCUUUCGGUCCAUAAUAACUUAUCAAUUUAUUUUUUUAUUUUGGUCCAAAAUAAGUAUUUAUUUAUAUAAUCAAGAAAAAAUUUAAUUUAUUUUUCUAAAAUUACCUGUAUGUAUAUAUCCUAAAAAUCAUUUACUCCUCAUAUUUGAGAAGAUGAGUGUUAUUAUAACAUGAUGCAACAUUUAAUGAAAGGUAGUUUAAUCGCACUAACUAUUUUCGUCUAGAAUUUAAAAUUUCCUUAAUGAGUGUGCCCAAAGUAAAUUGGUCACUUAUUAUGAACCAGAGGAAGUAGUAAAAUCUAACUCUCUCUGUUUUAAUUAAAUAUUUCGAGUUCCAGUCCUCAUACUAAAAUUAGCAAAUCAGAAUCUUUUUACUUAAAUUUCAAAUUCAAACUGUAGUAAUUAAAAAAAUUAAUCGAAAUGACGGUCAAUUUAAUUUUUUAAACUAAAAAUAGUCGAUAGAUAUAUAAUAUGUGUAUGACUAUAUAUAAUUUAUGAACACUAACUAGAAAAAGUAAACAAUAAAUCUGGCCGACUAUAUUUGUAAUAAUAUAGAGAGUUUUUAGUGGGCAUACAAUGUACGAAUUUAAUUAGUGCAGUUAGUAAUUUUGAAUCAAGGAUGCAUGAAAAAAAAAACAUUUGAUAAAUGGACCAGUGAUUCAGUAACCAACAGAGACAGAGAGUUGGCUCGAAUGGUAACAGUUACAAGAAAGAAUGUGCUAAACUUGAGAAAAAGUAAAAGUAAAAACAAAGAGAGACCCAUAGGAAAGAACAAUGUACAGAAAAAAUAGACAAUGGGGAGGGACAAAGCAAAGAGAUAACAGAAGUGAUCGGUUUUUGUCGGGCCAAUAUGUACAAAAUACAAUAUAUUCAAACUUCCAACCACCUUAGUUUUUUUUUCUUUUUCUUUUCUAAAAUGAAAUAGUACCAAAAGAAUCUCAAUGUUCAUGACACUACACUUCUUUAUGGGGAAAAAAUUGAAUGAAGUAAAAGUCUUAGGGGCGUUCAUACCAACCCGAAAAAUCGAACCAAACCGAAAAUCAAACUAUAUCGAUCAAAAAAUCGAUACUUUUUGGUUUGAUUUAUUUUUUAUUUUGAAUUUUAAAAACCGAUCAAAUUUGGUUUGGUUUUGGUUUUAAUCAAAAAAUAAUCGGAAAAAAUCCGAACCAAAUCGACUAUAAAAGUAGCUAUUUCAAAUUUAUUAUUAUUAUUAUUAUUAUUAUUAUUAUUAUUAUUAUUAUUAUUAUUAUUAUUAUUAUAUAUUAUUGUAUAUGUUAAUCAUUUGCACCUUUAAUUGCCUUUAUAUUGUAGUUUGAUUGGUAGUUUUCUUUUGCUAAGUAUAAGAAUUCAUUUUAUGUUAAAACUAAUCUAUUUUUAAUUGAGUCCUUAAAUUAUUCAUUCAAUUAUCAUCAAUAUAUCUUGGUAAAUGAUAGAUUUCUCAAAAGGCAAUUGAUUUGAUAGUGUUAUGUUGAAAAUGUAGUCGACGGAAUAUGUGUUUGGUGGUGUAUGUCUCAUAUUUAAGAAAAAACCCGAUAAAUAACCGAAAAAACAAAAAACCGACAUAAACCGAAUGAUAAAAAACCGACUUAAUUGGUGUGAUUUGGUUCUAAUAUUUGAAAAAUCGACUUACUUAAUUUGAUUUCUUUUUAAGGAAAAAUCGAUCCAAACCGAAUCAUGAACACCCCUAAGUAAAACAUUGUUCUUUUAAAUAUAAGGAUUAGUAGCUUCUUCUAUCUAUGGGUAAAUUAUCUGCUAGCUAGGCGUAAAAUCAUAUUGAGGAAUGUUAUAUUAAAAGACUUAUAAUUUUUCCAAAUCAAUGCUAAGGACAAAAGACAGUAAAAGCGAAAAACUCAUAUAGGCAAUACUAUAAUAUAAUUUUAGCUUGGUAGAAACUUGUAUAUCAGACGUCUAAUUGUCUAAAUAGAAGUGUGAGAUUUUGAUUAAUCUUAGAAAAAUCAUAUUAUUAUAGCUUUAAGAUGAAUUAAACCCAAAUUAAGCGAUAAAGUUAUAUUCAAUUCACACAUUUUACCCAACUUUACUUAAACUAAUCGACGGCUCGACUGAUAAUUUUUUGACAUUACGUGACGUGAGUACAACAAAUAAAGUAACGUUGUCAUUUUAGUGUAUGUUAUGGACUAAUAACUCAGAUGUUGAAAUAUGUGAAUGUGAAAUGACAUAAAAUUUGGGUAAAUUUUGGUUGCUUCUGUAAUUGUGGACCACAAAUUUUAGGAUCGGAAACUUCAAGAGAGAAAAUUGACAACUUUAAAUAAUACUACUAGAAGGAAAAGGGGGCUAUCAAGUGUCCCCUACCUCUAAAGUAGCUUUAGCUUGCACUUGAGCACUUAUCGUCCCCCUCUCCCCCCCCCCCCCUAUUUUUUUUCUUUUUGGAAUAAAUAUAUAAAAAAUAAAUAAAAAGUGCUAGCAUUGAAGAUUGAAGAGUUGGUGACAAAGAGGGCAAUGAAGACUCAAACCAAAAUAACCACAUGUAUGUAUAUUUAAGUGGGCGUUGGGACAUAAGAAUUAUAAAAUCGCGGGAAAAAAUGAAUUUUUUUAAGUAAAAUAGUAUUUAAAAAUUAGAGUUGUAUUUGGGCAUGAAUAUAAUUUUGUGUUGUUUUUGAAUUUUUGCGAGUGAUCUGAGUGGAAAUUUUGAAAAACAUGAGUUUUUCAAAUUUUCGAAAAAUUUCAAAAUUCAUCAAGUGAAAAUUGAAAAUUGUAUGGCUAAACAUUAUUUUCGAAAAAGGGUGAAAAAUAUUCAAAAAAAAGUGAAAAAAUUUCAUAGCCAAACGGGCUCUUAAGUUUUUAUAGUUUUCGACCCAAUAUCUAGUAUUUUUGUUGGGGAAUUAACUAAUUUAGAUUCACAUUAUAUAAGGUCCUACCAAUAUGGUAGUACUUUCUAUCAAGAUUUUUUAAAUUUUCAAACAUCGAAAAUAAUCCCUGGUUGUGUAUAUUAAGUUGAUUUUGUCAACAGGGGCGGAUGCAAGGUAAAAGAGCCGGGUUCAAUUGAACCCAUAGUUUUUUAUGCGGAGUAUAAAUUUAUGUGUAAAAAUUUACUAAAGUUGAAACAAAUAGUAGAUCCGAACUCAUAACUUUAAAAGUAUAAUAGAUUCAAUAUUAAAAAUCUUAAAGUUGAACCCAUACACUAUAAAUUUUGGAUCCGCCUCGGUUUGUCAAUACUCACAAAGACCUAACACUUUGAAAUAUUCCAGCACGUUUUUGGACAAACAAUUAUUUUCUCCAUGAAGAAAAAGGGGAAAAAAUCGCUUGAAGGGUUGGCUUUAACGAACUUGAAAAGUUAUUAAUGACAGUUUGUUUAAAAAUGGAAAUUGAAGAGACGGGAAAUCAAGAAACAAAACUAAAAGUAGGUGGUUGGCCAAAUAAAUAAAAGAGAAAAAAUCUAAUAUCGACGCCUACAUAUUUGGUAGAGUUUCUCUCUUAUUUUUCCGUUUAUUUAUUUAACUUUUGAAAAGUGAUAGGGAUUACUAGCAUGUUUGGCCAAGCUUCUCCAAUUAUAGAAGCAUAUUUUUUUUUCAAAAAAAAUAUUUUUUUUCAAAGUUAAAAUGUUUGGCCAAGCUUUUGGAAUAAAAAAAAGAAGCGGAAGCACUUUUGGAGAAGCAAAAAAAAAAUAGCUUCUCUCCGGAAUCACUUUUGAGAAAAAUACACUUAGAAGCAGUUUUUAAAAGCUUGACCAAACACUAUAUUGCUGCUCAAAAGUGCUUUCAAAUAAAUUAAUCAAACACAAACUGCUUAAAAAAAGUACUUCUUAAAAUAAACUAAUUUUUGUAGCUCGGCAAAACAGGGUAUACAACAGAGAUUGUUGAAUAUGGUAGGUAUCCCUCAAUUUUUUAUUUGUAGUUUCGAAUUGGAACUCUGAAAAUAUAGUUAAUCUUUGGUAUUGAACACUAUAUACUUUAAGAAUAGGACUUCUAAAGGUGAAUCAAAAUUAUUCAAAAAGUAGCGCGGAUAGGAAAUUAAAAAAAGAAGUGGUGGGGUAUAUUUUCAUAUAUAUACUUUUUCUUUUUUGUUUUAGUGGUGUUUCCAACUUGCAAGUAUGUUGUCCCAAUUAGCAAAAAAAAAAGUAUGUUUGUCCCAUGCUCCACAAAAUUAUGCAGAUCAAAGAAAAGGGAGGAAAUGAGACAGAAUUUUGAGCACUUGGUACUAUCUUCUCCUUAAUAUAUGAGAAAGAAAAUUUAUAUUGGGAUUGUCGAAAGUUGUAUAGGUCCAAAUUUGGCGAGCACGGUAACAGAUAAGCAGGACAAAGGACGGGGUCGACCACAAUAUAACAGCUGAAAGUCGUUCUCACAAAAGCUGAUACCCAAGGCAGGCAGUUGAGAUAGGAUAGUAACGGUAGCUUAGGUUCACAAAAGUUGAUACCCAAGAAUAUUCCUUUGAAUAUUCUUUAUGCUGUACUUUUAGGAUUUUUGAGGAAUGUCCCUUAUAAAUAGGAAGAGAUAGGGAACAAAAAUGAGAUCUGCCUUUCUGAACUGAAACACAUUGUAAAAGGCGAAAGAAGAAUAUACGAAAUAGUUGUCUUGUUCAUUUAUUUAUCCAAGCACACGUUGUUCAAUCUUGAUCCAUAAAUCUCAAGAUCUCAUAUAUAUUUUGACUUCUCGUUUUUCCACGUUGCCGUCAGAGAAAAGAAAUAUCUCAAUCAUAUAAUCAUUGGGUGAUAGUUCCUUUCCCAUUAUAUUCCUCGCCAUUACUUAUAGUUAUUAUACAUUUAUGCUAUCAUAUUUAUUGUCAAACAUAACGUGUUAAGUUCGAUGUUUAAUGCUCCUGAGCUCUACUCAUUAUACAAAAGCUUUAUUUUAUUUGGUCUAGAAUUUAUUAAGUUCAAUUAAGAUUCACCCUUUAACUUAUUAUUUAUUGGUUUAAUAUUUAUUUGCUCAAAUAAAAGUAAUUAUGCCUCUCCCUAUUUAUGUGAGCUGCUCAUGUGAUAACUCACAUGGUUCGACAAUAUUAAGGUUAAAUAAAACGGUAUUCGACAAGAUUAAGGAGUUCCACUACUUUCUUUGGAGUUGUGCUCUAACCACCAUCAGCAACACUUUCAAGAUUUUAGGUUAAUUAGUGAUUUUAACUGUUUUAUUAAACUGUUCUUAUGCGAAAAUAGAUGUCAAACUUAAUGUAAAUAUUUAAUUUUCUUAAGUACACACUCCCUCCGGUCCAUUUUAAUUAAUUUUUUGACUUUUUUAUGGUCCACGUUCCACAAUAUUUGAUUUUUUCAGAUAUCAAAAAGGAGUUAACUUUUUUCGAAAGUUGUCCUUGGAGUAAAGAGUGCAGGAGUAUUUAUUAUAUUUUCAAUGAACACAUUAAGGUUAAUAUAGUUAAUUUUAUUGUUAAUUAAUGUUAAACGAUGAAAUCCGUAAUAUGUGUGAAAAGAGCCAAAGAUCAAUUAAAGUGGAUCAAAGUGAGUAUUUAAUUAUAUAAAAGGAAGUUUACCUCUUAUAACAAACUAUUACACCCUAUUUAUUAUAAACCAAAAAAAUUUCAAAAUAUUAUUACUCACCGCUACCUUUUCUAUUUUAUAGCAAAAUAAAUAUUUAUUUUAUACCCUAUCAUUAAGGAGUGAAUUAGGCCAAUUAUGUUCUUUAUCUCUCUCACCCUCUUCCCCUCUCUGUCAGCAAGAUUCUCAAUCUUCUCAUAUCAAUUACUUAUCAUGGAGCCGAGAUUGAUGCACCAGCCAUGCGAAUCCACAUUAGUGAGAGAGUAGCAAGUCAGUUAACCAAAUGUUAAUUUUUACUUUUCAAACCUGAGCACAGAAUUAGGUGUCAAGAUUAUCAUAAUAUCCUGAAUCUGAGAAUGAGAAAUUCACACAUGAAAGUCCAUUGGAAAAAGUAACACCCUCAGCAAAUAGGAUAUCCACAUCUGAAGGUUCAUAGUCAGCAUAUAAGAUAUCCACGCUUGAGAAGAUUUGAGGGCCGAGUUUUCGUUCGUCUCCAUUUUUAGUUUUCAUACAAUGUAUACAAUAUUUUGCUUGGCCAAAAAAUGUCAUUUUUGACGAACUUUCUAAUCUUCUUUGCUAUUGAGUCACAUAUAAAGAUACAAAUAUAUCGUAUUAUGUACAAAUACACUCAAAUACAUUGUGUUUUUGUAUAAAUAUAUUAUUUUUCGCCUGUAUUUAUGUAUUUCGAAGGUCUAUAUUUUUUGAAUAUAACUGAUUAUCACUGUUUUUGUAUUUUUUAUUAUUGUUAAAUACAGUCAAAUUGAAUGUGGUGAAUUGAAUACAAUAUAUAAUAGUAAAUAAUGAAUAUCUGUGAAUUGAAUACAAUGUAUAUAAUCAAAUUGAAUAAAACGAUAUACACCAUAUUUGGGAAAAUUUUACAUUAGAACAACAAGGUUCCAUAUUUUUCAAUUUUAUAGCCCAUAUUUUAAUUUACAAUUAACUAGCCCAAAAAUAAUUGGUUAAUACUCAAUAUUCAACUCCAAUAGGUUCUCGAAAUUACUAUUUAAUUUUUUAAAAAGAUUGCUCAAGCUUUUAAAUUAUUUUCGAAUAAGUAAUUGUGACUCAAAUAUUAGUUCAACAAACUAAAUCCAUUUGGGUGGUAAAAAUUAGAUUUUUAACAAGCUUAAAUAUGUGGGUUUAAAUUUUGAAUUUGAUUUUGUAAGAAAUUUGGAGUUGGUGUUAUUUAGACUUGUUAGAAAUAGUAUAAGGAGGUUGUAUAUAAAAUUUGAAGUCAUUUAAUAGAGGUUUGGACUGGUUUUGAACAAUAAUUACAACUGAAAAUCGUGGAAGAAGUUCGUCUAUAAACGCUUGUAUAAAGGUGUAUAAAAGUGUAUAAGAUGUGUUUAUACACUAUUAUACAAGAUUAUACAUAAUUAUACAAAAAACUGACUUCGUCUUCUUCCUUGCGUCUUUUCUGAAAUUUAACUCAAAUCUACUUCAAAUUUAAAUAUUGAACUCUUUUUGAUAUUUUCAAUCAAAUGGAACAACACCCAUUCCAAAAAAAAAAACUAACAAACUCAAAAAAUCCUAUUUUCGAAAGCAAAGCUUUGAAUGACUUUCAAUGGUGGACUUCUACUCUUUAAUUUUUUUACAUUGCAACCUGGUGACAUAGGGAGAGAAGCAGAAAAUAAACGGGCCGUUGAAACAUAUGUAAAAGAUGUGAGAAGAAGAGAGAGUGAAAGCAAUGAUUGUGAGAACCCAGAUUUAACUCCAUAGCUUUUAGAGGCAAUGAUUGUAAGAACACAAAUUUUAAAUUUGCUAGUGCUUUCAAAAUAUAUGCAAUAUGGGCUAGGUCGGGUAAAACUUAAAAACAUGGGUCAUUUUUUAUUAUGGUGUGAAGUCAUGUGUAUUUUCUUGUAAUUCUCUCACCAUAUUUCUUGAUUUUUGUUAUUUGAAUAUAACUGAAUUCAAUAUAGUAAAAUUUAAUACAAUUCAAUAUUGUGUUUUCCGUUAUUAAACACCCGUAAUUACUAUUUUUAAGCGGAUUACCUAUUUAUAAAUACAGUAGCGCGAAUACAAGAAAUACAGAAUUAAACAUCGGUAAUCCUUAAUUUUUAGGCGGAUAACCUUUUUUAAAUACAAUAGCAUGAAUAUAUGGAAUACAACACAAUAGCAAUAAAAUUUUGUAGAAUUGAUUUUGUUGAGUUAAAUUAGGAGUGAUACACGCUAAUUAAUCCUUUUUCCAUUAUUAAACAACUGAAUUCCCUUAUUUUUAGGCGAAUUCCGCUACCAUAGCACGAAUACAUCAAAUAGUCAUGUAACUACUAAAUAGUAGUUACAACUAUAGGAAGUUGAUAGUCAUUAAACAAUUUUUAAAAACUCCUCUAUAAAAGACGAGUCCAGCACCGUGUGUUUGAUAUUUCUUAUGGCAUAUAUAUUCAAUACUUGCAUCCACUCCCGAACAUAUAAGAGGUAGUCUUGAUUCUAAUUCAAAAUCAUAAAAAUUUAACUCAUAAUAUGAAAAAUAUACGAGAGAAUACAAGGAAACAACAGUCAAUUUUCAAAUACUGAGGUCCAGUGCAUGGACAAUAUUAAAUGAGAAACAAACGUUGGGCCAAGAAUAGAAUAAGUUCGUCUUUGUUUGAUAUGAGAAAUGAAAAUUAACAUUACAACUAAUUUAACCUUUAAAUAUAGUUCAUGAAUUGAUCAAAGACUGUAAUAUAAAGAAACAAUAGUCAAUUUGCUCUCAACUAAUGUGGAGUACUAAACUGACUCAACUAGAAUUAUGAAGGGCCAAAAAAAUAAAUGAAAAGAGUAAUUAGUGGACACGAUCAGUUGCAUAACCAAUCCAAGUGGCAAUAAUUGGGAAUAUUAAUUUUAAGAGAGUUAGCAGAUGAGAUCAGAGAAUCAAGUUAUGAUUCUGUUGUUUCCUGUUCCCAAAGUAUGCUAAGUAUUAAUUAGAGAUUUUAAUAAUAUGGUGGAAUAAUCUUACGUGGGAGAUUAGUAGGGUAGUGCCAUGGACGGAUUUAUGUAGUAGUGCUUUUCUCUGUGCCACAGAGUAAGAGGUAACGUGUACCAACUGGAUUUUCUAGUGUCAAAUCAAUGAAAGAAUAUCAUCACUCAACACCAAAUAAACCAGACUAUGUGGAAAGAUCGGGACUAAUAAAUAACGUGUUACACAAAUAACCAGCAGCAUUCAUUGUUUACUAUUUCUAAUAAUGUAUAUAGAUUAUACACAAUUAUAUAUAUAUAUAUAUAUAGUAUAUAUGAAUUGUGAGCGUUACUGUGUUAAAUAAAAAAUCAGAAAUAUUUCGAGUCCAUAAUUUUCUUGUUCGUCCUUAAGGAAUUUUAACUCCCUCACACGUUGCCAAGGUAAUGGAUUAAAUCCUCCCAGGAUAAAACGGAAUAAACCUUCCUGCAACAGUGGCAAUACAAACUGCAAGAUACCAACGAACUCAAAGUACGGAGCAAAAUUACACUUACGAAUUUGAGAGAGAGAGAGACUGCGAAUUAGGAUGCAAUAUAUUCAGAAAGAAAGAAGUUCUAGAGUGUUUUUCGUAUAUAGAAGAUGCAGCCUUGCCUCAGAAUUUAUAGGCAAAUAUCAGAAGAGGUGUCUGGAAAGGUGCCUUUUCAGAAAAUACGCGGCCAGAGAGGCUCUCUGAAUCUGACUGCCGCGAUUCUACCGCGUUCACGGCAGAACCGCGGCCAGCGAGGCCCUCUGAACUUUCAGCAGGGUUCUGGCGUAGUUUCAGCAGUGAUUUGGCAUUUAAUUAAUUAUUAAAUAAUUAAAUAAAUUUUGUCCAAAAAAUAAUCUUAUCGAUCAUUUGACAAAACCGAAGCCGAAGCCGAGCGAGCGACAACGACGGCGCGAGGGUUCAUUCUCUUCAACUCCUUUUAAGAGCUUUAAGAAGUGAAUCUAUAUAUAAGCACACAAAAGUGAUUGUCCCUCACCAAUGAAGGACAAAGUGCAAGACAAAAGUUCACUUCUUCAAAAUUUCCAUUUUCCCUCCAUUUUAUUUCUCUCCAUUUCCAAUUCACACUUCUUCUACUUUAAAGCCCAAUGGCUUAAAGUCCAACAUGAAUUCUAUAUAUAUUAUAUAUCUGUCGGCUAUUUUUAGUUUAAGAAAUUAGGUGGACGGCUAUUUAGGUUAAUUCUUCUUUAAAAAAUUUAAUGAAAUUUUUUAAUCCUGUUAAAUUAUUAGAUUUUAAAAAAUAUUUUAUAUAUUUAAUGAUUUUUUAAAACAAAUACUCCCCUUCGUCCCAUUUUAACUAUCACGCCCAUACAAAAAAUCAAUAAAUAUAAGGUAGUAUAAUUUACUAAGCUAUCCUUAUCAAAUGUUUUUUGAGAAUUGAUUAGUAUUAAAAAGAACUAGUACUUUAAUAUUAAGGGUAGAGUUGGAUACAAUUAACAAAUUUAAUCUAAUUUUAAAGUGAUAAUUAUUUUGAAAUAAAUUUUUUGAGAUAAAACGGUAGUUAAAAUGGGACGAAGAAAAUAUAAAAUUUAAAUCAAAUUAUUGCUUUCGAUUAAAUCCGUAACUUAUACUCUAACUCCGUCCUAUUCAUUAAUUGCACCUGGAUGGUGAUAGCUAGUGAGCUUUAAGUUUCGUACAUUAUGUUUUAGUUCCAUUAUGUGUCGUGAGAAUAUCGACUCUUGAGAAGUUCGAAUUGGUAUUCUAGACUUGCUAGAACCACUAAUAUUUUCUUGGUAUGCUAUAUACUAGGUUUCUUCAAUUUAGAAUAAUAUAUCUACAGUUUUAUGGAACAAAUCAAACAUUAGAAUAAGGGCUAUGGGUCACAAAAAUCUCUCGAUCGCGCCUUCUAAUGUUCUUAUUAAUUAGCUUUAAUAGUUAUCGAGGAAGCUAUUAAAGUUAAAUUUGAUCCCCAGAUAGCUUGUUAACACCUUAAUUAAUCCAUCUCGAUUCAGUAUAGUAAUAAUUUUUACACGGCUAGUAUCAGUGUAUAACUUAAAUCCUACUUUAAAUACUAUUCCGACCAAUCGCAAACACACAACAUAGUAUAUCAACAAACUAUAAAUGCGGGAUUGUUACACAAAUAACCGGCCAAAUUUACUGUUUAUUUUUUCUAGCCGAUAUGCAUACAUUAUAUAUUAACUAUAUACAAUUAUACAUAUGUUAUAUAUAUAUAUAUAUAUAUAUAUUCGCCGGGUAGUUUUAUUUAAUUCUUCUUUAUUUAAGACUUAUCUAGGCUUUUUCAUUAGUUGAAGAUUCUAGUGUGCAUUAAGAAAAUUGAUGCAUAAAGUUCAAGACAGUAAGUAUAUCUUAAUUAAGCGAUGCCAUAAUGGCGUUGGUUUUCUUCUAUGCUUUCUCCUCAGAGUAUAAAUUGAUACUAAUAAUGGAAAUAGAGAUCAAUAAUAGUCUGUAUUCUACGUGAGAAGAAGAUGGAUAUUAUACAAAACCCAUCACUAUCAACGGAUUAUGGUGAGGAUUGAAACAAACAAAGUUGUAGGAAACGUGUGGCAUCUUGAUUUGAAAGUAUCUAAACAUAUCUUUCAUCAUUCUCACUUUCUAUAAAUCAAGUGGCCUACAAAUUUGUCCCUCCAAAUUUGUGGAAAUAAAACCAUUACACGUAUUUGUAUACUUAUAUUUUUUUUAAAUCAAUGGAUUUUAAAAAAAGUUCAAUUAAGAUUUUCAUAUUCCUCUCUCCUUUUUUUCUUGGAAAUAAUUGCUAGACUUAAGAUAAGUUAUAUAGAGUGGUGACUAGACCAACUAUGUUGUAUAGGAUGGAGUGUUGGCCAGUCAAGAACUUUUAUAUUCAAAAGUUGAAAGCAACGGAGAUGAGAAUGCUAAGAUGGACGUGUGGGUUUACUAGGAGACAUAAAGUCAAUAAUGAAGCUAUUCGGGACAAGGUGUAGGUGACUCUCGUGGAGGAUAAGAUGCGGUAAGUGAGGUUGAGAUAAUUCGAACAUAUGAAGAGGAGUUGCCCGGGCACCCCUCCCCCGUGACGAGGUGUGAGAGAUUGAACAUCGUGUGCCUGAGAAGAGGUAGAGGAAGGCCAACGAAGAAUUAGAGAUAGGAGAUUAGGCAGGAUAUUACGCAUCGUCGAUUGACUGAGGACAUUACCCUUGAUGGGAGGUUGUGAAGGUCGAAGAUUAGGGAUAGAAGGUUAGUAGUAGUAGUAGUAGAGCAUAUUUCCUUCCAUUCCGAUAGCUGUAGUAUUACUCUUCUUUUGUCUUUUCCUUGGAUUUUUAGUAUUAUCUGAUGUUGCUAAUGCUUCGGUCAGUUAGUAUCUUGCUGUUGCUACUAUUCUUUUUCCUAUGACUCUCCACUAUUUUUAUAUUUUAAUUUGCUUUACUGCUUUGACUGUGCUUGCUUGAGCUGAAGGUCUUUUGAAAACAUGCUUUCUACCUGCACAAGGUCGGGGUAAGGUCUGUAUACACAUUAUCCUCUCAAACCUAUACGUGAAAAUAUACUGAGUAUAUUAUUAUUAUUAUUAUUUUAUACGCGAUUAAUGUAAGAAAUUUCUACACUACUAAGCCAUUCAAAGGAUAUCUAUAGCUAGUUCUUCCAUACAAAAAAAAGGUGACAUCUAUAAUAAAUUAAGGCAUGUUAUAAUUUUUAACUGGACUUAAGCUCUUUUCUUUCGACCUGUGGAGUAUAUAACUUUUAAAACUCUUUCUUUUUUGGCCAAAGGAUUUCACUCAAAAAGGAAUAAAGGAUGACAGAAAAAGGUUUAGGCUCUGGAGAAAAGAAUCCAAAUUGGGCCUUGACCAUACUGUGCUCGCACUAGUAAACCCAUUUCAGUAUGUACGAAUCUCCUUGCUAAUUUCCCGCGUACUUUCAUGGAUAUACAAACUUCCGAACUCCUCGAUUUUCCCCACGGAAAUUUCAAUGGCGGUGAAUGAAGCUUUAAUCAAGGACCUUCGCGCUUUAUUCCCGAAGAAACACUCCUCAUUUGGUUUUCCUGUUCUCUUCUUUUGUCUCCUUCAUUUUCUAGCCCUAAUUGUAUUCACCAUUCAUAUUAUCACUAUAUACACAAUCAUCAUUCAGAGGUGGAUUCAUAAUUUAAAAUUAAUAGGUGCACACACAUUUUAAUAUACAUACAUUUUUUUAUUCUAUUUCCUUAAUUUUGUUUAAGAAAUUUAGUGGCGGCUCAACGAAUUUAGUGGCCUAAAGCCAAAUUUUAAUAAGAAUCUAAAAUUUAUACACCUAUACAAAUAUAUGCAAAAACUUUGAUGUUGUCUUUUUUCCUUCUGUACUUAUUUAUAUAAUAGUAUUCAUACAAGAUAUAUGUCUUUUAGCUUCAUAUAGUAAUAUUAUUAUUAUUUAUAUUAUCAAGGGUUAAUUCAAGUUAAUAAGAUGUUAGCCAUAUCUUUGUCAUACAUUACCUUGGAUCUUGAUGUAAAAAACUUUAUUUGCUAAUAGGAAGAUUUGAAUAGUUUAUUUCGAAGUUGUACAAUAUUUCUUAUGUUAAAAAGUAAAUAUUCUUUGUUUUUUAAAAAUCUUUUUACACGUAUUUUAUACUUUUUUUUUAACAAAAUUCAAAAUUGUCUAAGUCAAAAUAUUAUUAUUUAUUUUACAAUUAACACUUUUUGGGGCCUCAAACUUUUUGGGGCGAAAGGCUUUGCUAGCCUCACCUUCAGCCACCCAUGUUUACAGAGAUAUUGAUUUUUGUGAAUCAUCUUCGGGAAUCCGAUAAUGAUAUCGGACUCCGCCAUGGAAGAUGACUAGAAUAUUCGAAACGCCGGCGUCUCACCUCCGCCAUUUCAAGCAAUCGCUGAAGACCAAAUCCUUAAUCUCCUCUUCAACCGACGAACCUCAAUUGAUCAACCGCUUAUGGCGCCACUAUAUUCUCGAUCCAAACAGCGACAUUGUCAAUCGCUGGAACUACGUGUUCCUCAUCACGUGUUUAAUCUCUCUUUUCAUCGAUCCUCUUUACUUUUACAUCCCUUACGUCAGCGAAAACGCUUGUAUGGCCACUGAUGACGAAGCGGCCACACAAAUUACCGUCUAUCGUUCUCUUACCGAUGUCUUUUAUUUCCUACAUAUUAUUAUGAAGUUUCGAACGGCUUUUGUGGCGCCCAGCUCGAGGGUUUUUGGCCGGGGUGAGCUUGUUAUGGAUGCCAAAGAAAUUGCGAUUCGGUACCUCAAGACUGAUUUAAUUGUUGAUUUUACUGCCGCGCUUCCCCUGCCUCAAGUGAGUAUUUAUAUUUUAUUUGACUUAGACACAAAAUUUAAUGCUAUAAUUUGACUUUAUUAAAAUAGUGAUUGUGGAAGAAAAUAGUGAAUUAAUGGUUAAAAUAUCAAUUGUAUGGGUAAACUUCACGUCAUGAUUAAAUCUGAAUAAGUUACUCCGUUCGUCCUAAUUUUUGCUUAUUGUAUAACAUGCACAGAGUUUAAGAAAGAAUUACUUCUGAAACUUGUCAUUUAAUACAAGUGAUAGACAUUUGUGUCGCGAUAGCAUGCCACAUAAAUUGGGAUAUAGGAAGUACCGAAUUUGAAUUUUUGAAAGUUGUAAUCAGAAUGUCUUUCAUAAAUUAUAAACGCAGCAAUGUUUCAGAUUUCUUGAGGAGCCAUCACAAUCUUAUCUUUUGAGGCAUGGACACAAUUAUUUGAUUUUCAAUUGGAAUAAUCACCAUGAACAUUCAAGUUUAGUACUGCUAUUAUUCUUCUUUUCAUUUUUUUCUCUUUACCUCUUGCAGAUCGUCAUUAAAUAUGUAAUACCCGCAGCUAAAAGAAAUGGAUCUGGUCACUCCAAAAGUACUCUUGCUCUUAUCGUUCUCAUCCAAUACGUGCCAAGGUUGUUCGUUAUUUUUCCGUUAAAUCAGCAGAUUAUCAAAACUACAGGUUUUAUUGCUAAAACAGCUUGGGCAGGAGCAGCUUACAAUCUCCUUCUUUUCAUGUUAGCCAGUCAUGUAAACACUCAUGCCCAUCUCUUUCAUUUUGGAAUUUGGUAUCAGAAGACACAAACUAGAAAUCACCUGACUUGCGAGUUGUGUGCGUUUUCUUCUGCUUCGUGUGCAGGUGGCAGGAGCUUCGUGGUAUGUGGCAUCUAUAGGAAGACAGUACUCUUGCUGGUCGAAUGAAUGUAAGAAGGAACGUGAUGCAGUUCCACCGUGCGUGCCUGAUUUCUUAGAUUGUACAAGUGAUACGGAUACAUAUGUACGUGAUUAUUGGCGAAACAGCACGCAAGUGCUUGUAAAAUGUGAUGCUAUAAAUGAUGAAGAUUCUGGUUUUAAGUUUGGAAUUUUCGCUAACGCCUUUACUAAUGAAGUGGCUUCAUCAACAUUCAUGGAGAAAUAUUUAUACUGUCUUUGGUGGGGUCUAAGAAAUUUGAGGUUUGCUUUCUUAAACUGCAAACUUACUUUUCUUCUUCCCUCCCUUUAUGUCUCUUUUGUCUUUUCCUCCUUAGUUUUGCAAUUCAAUGGUGUUGCUGACUAGAAUUGAAGGUUGGCUUAGUUUUGCAUAUUCAAUGGUAUUGAUGACUAGAAUUGAAGGUUAGCUUAGUUUUGCAUAUUCAAUGGUGUUGAUGAUUAGAAUUGAAGGUUAGCUUCGUUUUGCAUAUUCAAUGGUGUUCAUGAUUAUAACCGAAGCUUGGCUUAGUUUUGCAUAUUCAAUGGUCUUGCUGAUUAUAAUUGAAGGUUGGCUUAGUUUUGCAUAUUCAAUGGUGUCGGUGAUUAUAAUUGAAAGCUGGCUUAGUUUUGCAUAUUCAACGGUAGUGGUGAUUAUACUUGAAGGUUGGCUUAGUUUUGCAUAUUCAAUGGUGUUGGUGAUUAUAAUUGAAGGUUGGCUUAGUUUUGCAUAUUCAGUGGUUGUGGUGAUUAUACUUGAAGGUUGGCUUCUCAAAGUUGUUCCCCCUUUUGGCUUGGGUGUAACUUAAGAUGCAUAUUCUUAUUCUGAUAUAGUCCUUCCAUUUCAUUUAUGUGACAGUAUUUGACAAGUCAAGAAGUGAUUUAAGAAAGAAAGAAAAACUAUUUACACAUAUGCUAAAUAUAUGUAACAUACCAAAAAUAUACAACAACAACGACCCAGUAGAAUCUCACUAGUGAGGUAUGUGGAGGGUAGAGUGUACGCAGACCUUACCCCUACCCCAGAGGAUAGAGAGGCUGUUUCCGGGAGACCCUCGGCUCAGAGACAAUAGAUACAUAACAACAACAGAAACUAGAAAAAUAGUAUCAGCAUCGUAAAAGACAGCAAAUAAAUGAAAAGGCCAAAAUGUGAAAGACGGCAAAAAUAUGAAACACAACAAAAACCGCUAGCAGUCCUAGACAAAACACUAUCAGACUAGCCGGCACAACGAGGAGAAAAGCUCGACUACCCCCUAAGCUACAACCCUAAUGCUCGACCUCAAACAUACCAAAAAUAUCUUUAGAUUUUAUGGUCUUAGUGCCUUGUAAUUAAUUCCUAUAAUGGUAGAGUCAAAUUAAGGGUAAUAUGGGAGCAUUAGAAUUAAUGACUUCCAUAUAUCGAAAGGUGUCAAUCUUCUUGGAAUGGACUAAAUUGGAAAGAAUGUCAUAUAAAAUGGAACUCGAGGGAGUAUAUUUUUUCUGUUUAUCUGCUAUGUAGUACAGUUUAUACAAACUGAUUGUAUUUAUAAAAAUUAGUCCAACUUUUAAAGGACCCUUUGGCUUUAAGUCUGCAUCCUGAAUAUGCAAGUCACUCUGUCUGUUUGAUACCCAGUCUCUUCUGUUUGGCUAGUUCGUCAGGCAGCUCAGAGUUGAACUAUGAUUUCACAAAUAUUCCCCAUUGUCUAUCCCGGCUACUUAAUUUUGGCAAAAACUUCCAGUGCUAUUAAUCAUUGUAAAUUAUAAAGUAUGUUCCCUGCUACUCCAUAGAGAUCCUCUAGAGGCUUUGUCUUGGAUCUUGUUGACUACUCCGUAUUUUGUCAAUCACAAUGAAGGAUUCUACUCAUUUUUCAGAGCUGAUUUCAUGAAAAUGAAUUUCUUGUCUCCUUUGUUGCUUAGGAUACCAUCAAAUCUUUUCAGAUCUUUUUUCAGGUUAGAGAAUCUUAUUUUUGUCUUUACAAAUGUUGUCUUGCAGUUCAUAUGGGCAGAAUUUGAAUACUAGCACUUAUAUUGGCGAAACAUUAUUCAGCAUUUCCCUAUGCAUCAUUGGCUUAGUUCUCUUUGCACAGCUUAUUGGAAACAUGCAGGUAAAAUUUUGAUGAUAAUAUGUCAGAAUAGAUCAUUAUUAUCACCUUGUGCGGUUAGUUAGCUGAAGCAAUUUCAUCAUGGUUUAUGUACAUCAUUGAUUUCGAAUACAUGUUAUGUCAGUCACCUUAACGUUGUUCUGAUGAUUCACCUCUAGAACAAUGUUAAGCAUGAUAGGACUGUUGAAUAAGACAUUGUUAAUUUGUGAUAGUUGAUUUAUAUAAUUUCGUGUUAAUUGUCAGCAACAUGAAAUAUUUCACGGAGUUGGAAAUUUAGUUCUUUCAAGAGUCACAAUGUCUCAUUCGACAGUCCUAUCAUGCUUAAUAUUGUUCUAGAGGUGAUUUAUCACAACGUAAAGGUGACUGACAUAACUCCAAUUUUCCUAGUUCAAGUUAAUGUGUCUGCUAUGUGCCGUUACUCAAGAUCUGUUUCCUAAAAUUCUCAUAUAAUAAGCAGCUUAGGUUCAUCGGCAUUAGUAGUAUAGCCAGUAAUCAACAUUAAUUCUGAGUUGAAUUGGGUACAGUGAUAUCUAUUCUUAAAUAAUGCUUAGGUUUGUAGGUGAUUGGUAAGACUUGCUUAAAAUUUGAGCUAUCAUUUUUCAUUUGUUUCAUCUAGUAUAGUACAUGCUUCUUUGUCCUUGAUACACUUAUGAGUUUCUUUCCUUUCAGACUUAUCUGCAAUCUAUGACCGUAAAAAUUGAGGAAUGGAGAAUUAGAAAAAGAGAUAUAGAAGAAUGGAUGAGGCACCGACAGUUGCCUGAAGACUUGCAAGAACGUGUUCGCCGUUUUGAUCAAUGUAAAUGGCUUGCUACAAGAGGAGUUAAUGAAGAAGACAUCUUGCAAUCUUUGCCUUUGGAUCUUCGUCGUCAAAUCCAAAGACACCUAUGCCUUAAACUUGUUCGACGAGUAUGUCUUUCUUGCACUAUCAUAGAUCAUUUUUUUGCUAGACUCGUGCAUUAUAUUGGAGUAUCAUGACAAGUUGGCCAUGUCAUUACGAUCUUUAUAUAUAUGUCAUGGCCUGAUCAUCCGAUAUAUGGUGUUUGCGCUAUUUAACUUCUCUUGGCAUUGAAACACUUUCAGGAGGCAAACAUAAAGGAAAAGAGCUGUAGACAGAAAACCCCUGGCCACAAGUUAAACAAAUAGAAACGAAUUGAGCAAAAGAAAUGCAUUUGUACCAAUGAAUGCUACCUAUAAGAAACAUUACUAGUAUUAGUGAAUGAAUAAAGAAAAUAACUUUAUCUCUUUAAUCAUCAACUAAGCAUUGACAUGUGAUGUGCCUUACAUUUUGUAUUGCAUUCAGUCACUUACUUGUACUUGUGUUCCUACUCUGUAAGUACCUAAGCUAGCCGCUUCUGUUUGCUAAGCUUUAGAGAUCCCUAAAUCUCCUGUCCAUGCAGGUUCCAUUUUUUGCACAAAUGGACGAUCAGCUGCUUGAUGCAAUUUGCGAACGACUAGUCUCGUCCCUAAGCAUAAAGGGUACUUAUGUUGUUCGAGAAGGCGAUCCAGUUAAUGAGAUGUUCUUUAUCAUCAGGGGACAACUAGAGAGCUCCACGACAAAUGGGGGAAGAUCUGGAUUCUUCAAUUCUAUCACUCUUAGACCUGGUGAUUUCUGUGGUGAAGAAUUGCUGACAUGGGCCUUAGUUCCUAAUACAACGCAAUUGCCUUCUUCAACUCGAACUGUGAGAACACUUUCUGAAGUUGAAGCAUUUGCACUUCGAGCUGAAGACCUGAAAUUUUUCGCGGUUCAGUUUAAACGUCUUCACAGUAAGAAGCUACAACAUGCAUUCAGGUAUUAUUCUCAACAGUGGAGAACAUGGGGUGCUUGCUUAAUACAGGCGGCAUGGAGAAGGUAUAGGAAGAAAAAGAUGGAAACUGAAUUGGCUUUACAAGAGAGCUAUUAUUAUAAUCAAGAUCCUAACAACAAUAAUGAUCAAAAUUAUGAGGCUUUUGAAGAUGUUGGUCUUGAGCAACCAUUGGUAGGCAGUGCUCAUAAUUCCCAACAACUUGGAGCUACAAUUUUGGCUAAAAGAUUUGCUACUAAUACGAGAAGAGGAAUAGAACAGAAGAUUCAGAUGACUGAUUCUUCUUCCAGCUUAAAGAUGCCCAAGUUGUUUAAGCCAGAUGAGCCUGAUUUUUCUGCAGAAUGAAGCCAUUAAUUAAUUAGUUAGAACACCCAGCUUUACUGAAAGGUACUAGCUAGUGAGUAAUCAUAAAGCUAGUACACUUUUUAUUUGUAAAUUUCAGGAGCCAUAGGCCUUUGUCAAUUUUGACUACAAUAUUCCUUUUACAAUCAUGUUAAAUACAACCUUCUUCUGUACUUGCUUGUGCCUAAAUUUGUGACAGAUGAUAAACCUACAGAUAAUUAGGUGGUGAAAUUAGAUAAGUUUAUGUAAUUAUUUUAACAGAACAACUCCACUUCACCCAAAAAAUAGCUUCUUUUUUUCUUUUCAAAUAAAAAAUAAUUUCUCUUGUUUGGUUGGUGCAGAAAAAAAUGUACCACCAAAAAGUUGGUCUCUUUCUCUGCCAGGAAGGAGAAAGAAAAUGUUUAACCAUUUUCCUCCUCAUUAAUUUAAAAAAGCGCAGAAACUGAAAGAAUAUGAAAGGCAAAUAAAAAGAAGGAAAAAAUAAUAUACGUUAAAGAAGGAAAACGGAACAGAAAGAAGAACAAUCAUAUUUUUGAAUAUUACCACCAAUCAGCUACCCUUAAUUAGCAUUUGAGCUGGAAUAAAAAUAUUUCUGAUAUAAAGCACUUAUGUUGUAACUAGUCUUAGGCUACGCGCUUUGCGCGUGUACCUAUAUCAAUAAAUAUGUAAUUUUUAAAAAUUAUGUAAAUAUUAUUAAAUAAUGUAUUUGAGUUAAAUAUUAAAAAAUAUAAGUUCCUAAAAUUAAUGCAUGUUAAUUUUUACACGUUCAUAUUCUUCCAAAAAUGAAUAUGUAUUCGUAAAUAAGAUGUUUUCACAUACAACUACAUUGAUCUUAGUAAAAGGUGCUUUAGAUGCACGUGGUUCCAAGUUAAUGCCAGAUAAAAAGGAUUUCGGUUAUAGUUUUCCGUGCGAUGGCCCAGGACGAGGCGGUACUUGUGAUAUUUUGGCAUGUGACGCAUUUUAUUUGGCAGUUUUUUGGAUGUUAAAUACUAUUGGAUGGGUUACUUUUUAUUGACAUUGGAAGCACAUCACAUUAUGGCAGGGUAACGUUUCACAGUUUAAUGAAUCUUCCACUUAUUUGAUGGGCUGGUUAAGGGAUUAUUUAUGGUUAAACUCUUCACAACUUAUCAACGGAUAUAAUCCUUUUGGUAUGAAUAGUUUAUCGGUUUGGGCAUGGAUGUUCUUAUUUGGACAUCUUGUUUGGGCUACUGGAUUUAUGUUCUUAAUUUCUUGGCGUGGAUAUUGGCAGGAAUUGAUUGAAACUUUAGCAUGGGCUCAUGAACACACACCUUUGGCCAAUUUGAUGAUGAGCCAUCAUCUAUAUGUGCUUUAUAAAAUCUCAUGUCAAAUCGAUGACAAAUAUUACUUUCAUAGAGUGAAUGAUUACUUUGAGAAUACUUAUUGUAAGGAUUAUUUUGAGAAUCCUUAUUGUUCUCAUUACCACAAUAAUAACAAUUAUAAUUUUGUCUAUUGCCACGUCCACAUCCAUUGAUAUAUUCAAAGUAAUAAUUUUGUCUUCUUUCAGACUUAUCACAUAUUGCUAUCACAUUCCCUUAAGGGAAUGAGAAUGGAGCAAAUUCAAUGGGACGAGUUUUCAAUUCUUUGCCCACAAUCAUACAUGAAUUUGAUCAUGACAAGGCAUAGAAAUUUUACCACUUUGGGUGGUUAUAAUUUCUUUUAAACUCCAUUAGAGUUACAAUCAAAAUUUAUCGUCUUUACUUGUAUUUAAAAUCAAAUUAUAGAAUGUUAAGAAUUUGAAAGAGNNNNNNNNNNNNUCAAAUACUAUAAACAAAUAACACAUAAAAAAAUAAUUUUACCAUAAUUAUUUAAAGAUAACCAAAUAAAUUUUGAAUAUUUUGAUCAUUUAGAAAUUUGCGAGUGAUGAAGUAGAAGUAUAGCUCCUAGAAAAAUAUUGAUAAAUAACAAUAUAAAGUUUUAAAUAACCAAUAUUGAAUUAUAAAAAACAAUGUAGUACUACACUAAAAAUUAUAGAAAGCUAUCAUUUAAAGAAAAAUAAUAAUGAUAACUUCUUUUGAAUAGCUUUUAUCUUAUGUUACAUCCUUAAUGCUUCAAAUGUAGCAUUUUUAGUAAUUUAACUUUUAAUACUAUAUUAUAAUAAAUUUUUGCUCUAUCAUUCUUUUAUUUCUUUCAUGACUGAUGCUCUUUUUGUGAAUAAAUUUGUGUAUCUUAAAAGUUUUAUCAACUUGAUAAAUAAUUUUACUUACCUAAUGAUUUUGGAAAAAAAUGGAUUAAUUUUUUUUUACUAAUUUAUUAAUUCAAAGACUUGAUUAUUUGUUGAGAUUUCAUUCUUUUGUAAUUGUAUAGAAAAUACAAAUUAUUCUAAACUUUUUUUUCCUACUCGAACAAUAUAUUAUUCGUGUAAUAUUUAAAAACUACAUUUAGUAAUUAAAAUAUAUAUUUAUUUAGGUACAAAAAUCUCUUACUUUUAAUAGUACAUCUCGUUAGCAUUGUAAGUUCCCUACUAAGAAGCAUGAAUGUGAAACAUAUUUCCAUUGAAAUUUGUCAGAUAUACAAGGAAAAGAAAACGUUAAUAUUACUCCUAUUUUUCCAAAUAAUAUCUACGUUAAAGACCUUAAUACAAUAAAUUUUGUUCAGGGUUGAAAAGAAACUUACCUUUUACUUUUUAUAUUCUCUUCGUUUUUUCUUAAUAUAUUUUAUUCUUAUUUAGUUGAUUUCGAACUCCUAAAUAUUAGGUAAUGAUUAAAUUUUUACUUAAUUUUAAAGUGUUAAAUAUUAGGAAAGAAACUUAAAUUAUAUAUAUGUCUAAUGUGAAACUUAUUUUAAAAUGGUAAUAAAGGCGAACGACAUUUUUCUGAGGGCCUUCGUGUUUUUAAUAUAAUAUAAAUAUAGAUAAUAAAUUUUACGAUUCGUCAAAAAAAGAGAUAACAGCAUCUAUGCAAUUGGAUUACGUGUAACUAGUUUGACACAUAGACACUGCCUUACACUUUCAAUUGCCACAUCGCUCGUUUUGCAUGCGCGCGCAACGCAUUUUUCUCAGCGAAUUUUGCCUAUGCCCUAAUUUCUUAAACUGUGCUUAUCCCCUUCUACUUCUGAAUUCAUCAACAAAUUUUAAGUGAUCUCUUGCUGUCAGUUGCAUGCUAUGGCUACUCUACGGUUCUCUUCUCUGCUGGUUUCUUCCUUUCUUCCUGCUUUUCGCUCUUCAGGUAUAUACCUCUUUACCUUUGUUUAUGCACAAAGUAAUUUUUUUUUUAUUAGUAUUGCCUCCAUUUGAUUUCAGUAUCUAACUUAUCUACACUUUUAUGUGUUACGUAACCUAUUAUAGCAAUUAGCAAGUUGUCUGUUUUUUUAGGUGACAAACUUUAUUUAUUAAUUUGAAUAGUUACGUGUAGUUAUCUUUUAAAAUAUAUGAUAGUAUAAAAAUCAUGUUAUAGUGUGUAGAAGUUGUGUCGAGGGUCUAUCGGAAACAACCUCUCUACUCCUCACGAGGAGUAGGGGAAGGUCUGCGUACAUACUACCCUCCCUAGGCCCCACUCGUGGGAUCUCACUGGGCCGUUGUUGUUAUAGUGCGUAGAAGUUAAACUGUGGAUCUUAUGUGUCUUUGACCGAGCAAAGUUUAAGAAAGCAAAUUUUGAACAAUAAGUGAAAUAUGUAGUCCUAUAAUACACCCAAAGUACAUGUGGUCUUGCCAUGUCAAUUCCUGUUAGACUAUUUUCCUAUAGGGAUAAAACAGAAAUCUUAAGAUUAAAGAGUUUCUAGAUAUCCAAAGGAAUCAUUUUUUCAACUGAAAAUGGAACAAAGGAGUAGUCCAUUUCUAACCAAAAGAGUUGCUUUCACCUGGGUUUUUAGUGUCUUGAUGAUUAAACAAACUAAGUUUGACUUAAAUUCAUCUGCUUAUAUUCUCUUUUAUCUAUUCUGAUUUAUAGGUUUGAGAUUUCAAUCUAAAGGUAGAUACUUUGAGUACUCAAAAAAUGGUAUCAGAAGUUUUAGUAGCGCCGUGGUGCAUGAAGAGCCAAUCACUCCACCUGUUGAAGUUAAAUAUAAGCAGCUUCUAAUUAAUGGACAGUUUGUAGAUGCAGCCUCAGGUUGACCUUUCAUCUCUUAAAAUCUUUCAUUUCAAAUGUUCUUUUAAAGUUGCUUCAAGAGUAACAUGGAGAAUACUAUGUCUUCAGGAAAAAUGUUUCCUACAUAUGACCCUAGGACAGGGGAUGUCAUUACUAUGGUUGCGGAGGCCGACACUGAAGAUGUCAAUCGUGCAGUCUCUGCUGCUCGUAAAGCAUUUGAUGAAGGACCAUGGCCUAAAAUGUCUGCUUAUGUAAGGACACAUAUAGUAACUGGGCCUUCUUAUCUUUCUCGAUCCUCUUCCUUGCUCCCAACAGACAAAGGCGGAUUCAGUAUUUAAAUUUGAUGUGUUCAACCUUUAAGGUUCUUACUAUUUGACGCAUUGAGUUCUGAAAUUUUGGGCAAAAUUUUAUAUUUUCUAACAUUCUAGUAAAUUUUCAAAUAUCUAUCCAUGUUCUGUGUCGAAAAUGACGGGUUCAGUUACACCAAUCAAAUCUAUUGUCCAUCCACCUUUGCCAAUAGUUGCUGCUUGUUUAGAUGCCUUGUCUUACUUAAGUGUUAAUUUGUUAAAUGAAUAAUUUUUUUUCAGGAAAGAUCAUGUAUAAUGUUGCGUUUUGCUGAUUUUCUUGAGAAGCACGGUGAUGAACUUGCAGCACUUGAGACUUGGGACAAUGGAAAGCCUUACGAACAAGCUGCAAAUGAAGAAAUACCAAUGCUUAUACGUCUUUUCAGAUACUAUGCUGGUUAAGAAAAUUAAAAUGGCGUUAUAUUUUCUCUGUUUAUAGUAAAAUUCUGAUGUUUGCUGAAAUCACCCGUAUACUUUUCCAAGUUUUUCCAUGUACAUUCUUUUUCAGGUUGGGCUGAUAAGAUUCAUGGUCUUACAGCUCCUGCUGACAGUUUGCACCAUGUUCAGAUCUUGCAUGAGCCGACUGGUGUUGCAGGGCAGAUAAUACCCUGGAAUUUUCCUCUAUUAAUGUUUGCAUGGAAAGUUGGGCCCGCACUCGCUUGUGGCAAUACUGUUGUACUAAAACCUGCAGAACAGACCCCACUCUCUGCCCUCUAUGUGUCAAAGUUAUUCCACGAGGUAUGUACCUAGGAUAACUGUACAUUUGGUCUGCACUUGGUCUUGUCGUCACAGAACCUUUUAAGUUAUAAUUCUAAAGAAUGCGGAGUCGUAUUGUCAUUGUGUUUAUUGUGAUCUAUUUAUUUACAAAUUCAGCAGUUUCACAUCUAUAAUCGAAAACUUUCCCACAGUUGGUGCAGCUCAACGUGAAGAUAUUCUCCAUCCAUACAAGAUGAUAGCAUGUUUUUUGUGCUUCAAUGACAGGUUGGACUUCCCCCUGGAGUCUUGAAUGUCAUACCUGGCUUUGGUAGUGCAGGUGCUGCUCUUGCCAGUCAUAUGGAUGUCGAUAAGGUAUUUUAAGUUUUGGCUUUGUUCCUGAAAUUGCCUUAUGAGCCUAUAAUAUACUAAUGAAUGGACACACAACCUUGAUUAUAGCCUCUCGUUAGAGAGUUCAGUCCACAUGUAGGAUAAGUGAAGAGAAUUAUACUAUCUUUUUCUUCUAACUCAACAAAAAAAAAGGUUAUGCAUCCUGAUGUCCUUUCAGCUUUUGUAUUUCAUGCUCACUUUUGUUGAUAUUGUUGUGAUGUGUAAAGUUUUUUAAUGAAUAUUCGGGAAUAGGUGAGGGAGAAUGAAGAGAACUGACAUCUUCUUUUUUCUUCACUUUAAACAGCUUGGCCCUUGAUAUUACUUCUUGCAUAUUAUGGUGUCGUUUUUUCAGAAUUUUUUAUUUAUCUGUGAUGCCUAAAAUGCAAUGUAUCUCUACAUCACUCAUUUUUGUGUCUACAGCUUGCUUUUACAGGGUCCACAGAAACUGGUCAAGCAGUACUAAGUGCAGCUGCAAAGAGCAACCUAAAGCCAGUGACUUUGGAACUCGGAGGAAAAUCUCCUUUCAUCAUUUGUGAAGAUGCAGACAUUGAUAAAGCUGUUGAGUUGGCUCAUUCUGCGGUUUUCUUUAAUCAGGUAGCAGAGUUCCACCCUCGGAAAAUUGUGACUUCUGGUGCUUGCUCUGGAAAAAAUAAUUUUCAAAUAUUUGCAGGGACAAUGUUGCUGCGCUGGAUCACGGACUUUUGUACAUGAAAGAGUAUAUGAUGAAUUUGUAGAGAAAGCCAAGGCCCGUGCUUUAAAACGUGUAGUUGGCGACCCUUUCAAGAAGGGAGUUGAACAAGGUCCUCAGGUACCAUUCUUCCUGUAAUAAAAAAAUAGAAUGAUUUAAUAAACCCUCUUAAGGACAAGAGGAAUAAUAUAUCCUUACCAAUUUGGUAGUAGCCAACUUUUCAGGGAAAGAGUUUGCCACUGGUACCUUUGUUAUUUCCUUUUCAUCAUAUUACAUAUAAACUUAAAUAACGAAGUUUAAUAAUAAUCGUGAACUUUUAUUUGCAUUUCUGAAGUAGCUGUAACGCGGCCUUUUCUUGUAUGAAUAGAUUGAUACCGAGCAAUUUGAGAAGAUCCUUAAGUACAUAGAGUCUGGUAUUGAAAGCGGGGCUACUCUCGAGUCUGGAGGGGAAAAAUUGGGUUCCAAGGGCUUCUAUGUCCAACCUACUGUCUUCUCAAAUGUCCAGGUACAACUACCAUUGCCCAUAAGAUAUAUCCAUACAUAAAGUAAAAAGACGAAUAUGAUAGCGAUGGCAUCAAAUGGUUUAGUUUAAAAUUAUUUUUCAACCAUUUAGGACAACAUGCUGAUUGCCAAAGAUGAGAUAUUUGGACCAGUGCAGUCCCUCUUGAAAUUCAAGUAAGAGUACAUUUCAUCUUUACGUUUCCUAGCUGUUCUUUUAUUUCGUUUAUCAAUUCUGAACCUGACCUUGAAACAUUCAGGGAUCUUGAAGAGGUCAUUCGAAGGGCAAACUCGACACAUUAUGGUUUGGCGGCGGGUGUUUUUACCCAGAACAUAGACGUAGCCAAUACAAUAUCUCGAGCCCUUAGAGUAGGGACAGUGUGGGUUAACUGCUUUAACAUCUUUGAUGCUGCCAUUCCCUUUGGUGGGUAUAAGAUGAGUGGACACGGAAGAGAAAAGGGAGUUUACAGCCUCAAUAACUACUUGCAGGUCAAAGCUGUUGUUACCCCUCUGAAGAAUCCUGCAUGGAUGUAGUUUUCUUUAGAAGAAUUAACCUAAACAACCGCCCACCCAACCGCUUAAAUUAAAAAUAGCCGGCGGAUGUUGUAAAAUAUGUAUAAUCCAUGUACAACGUGUGUAUUAACCAUGUAAAAUUAGCGAAUAUAUAUAUAUAUCGGUUAGGAAAAGUAAACAGUGAAUUCAAUCUGCUAUUUGUGUAAAGUUCCUUUUCCUUUUCUGUUUUGUGGUGGCACUUUUGUAGAUAUUUUGCAACGUACAAUCUUUUUUAACGCCACUUGUAUUACUUUUUUGGAUAAGUUGCAACAUGCAAUCUUUGUUUUUGUAUUUUCUUUUGUAUGCUUAGGCUGACCUAAUACAACAUGCAAUCCUGUUUUCGUGAGAUCUUUUUAUACUUUUGUAGAUAAGAUGUGAAAUACAAUCUUGUUUUCUGUGAGAUCGUUUGCCUUUGUGCAACUGAUGAAUUUUCAUAUUUUCCUAACCAUCCAACAUGUUUGCCCUGGCUGGUAUAGCUAGUUCGUCUUCCAGCUUGUCAACAACUUUCUCAAUGAAGGGUCUAUUUUGCUUUGGUUCAAUGCAUGAAAUAGCUAACUCCAAUGUGAGCUGGAAAGCCUCUGUUGAGUAAUCUCCAUAAUGUUUUGGAUCAACAAAUUCCGUUGCCCGUUUUUCCCGCAUCAGCGAUUUUGCCUGAAAUGACAGGUAUUUAUCAACAUCCGGUUAUUUUGUUAUGAUUAAUUAAUGAUACAUUCAUGAAAAGGGAUAGUUGUUUACAAUUUUGUCCAAUGUUGUUGCUUGCUCCAUGUUCAUAUUGAUAGCUUUCCUCCCAGAGAGGAUCUGCAGUAGUACUACUCUCAAACUGUAUACAUCACCUGCUGAAUUUACACGAUGAUUCGUUUCAUAUUCAGGAUUGACAUAACCAAAAGUGCCUCUCACUUCUGAGAUCAUGUAGGAUUCACCAAUGUCUAUCACCUUGGACAGUCCGAAGUCAGAAAGCUUAGCUUCAAAAUUCUGUCCUAGGAGUAUGUUUGUAGGCUGUGGAUAUAAGGUGAGCAAGCGAACAAUGUCCAAAUUUAAGACCUUUAAAGCUAGCUAUUUACACUGACAGUUUAAACUAUUUCUACUAGGUUACUAAUUAAUGCUUAUCAUAGAGAUUUAUCUGUGAUUACCUUAUAAGUGACAUGAUUGUGUAAAUUCAACAGUAAAGGUCAGGUCCUAUAAAUAUAGAACAAAGUUAAUAGUUGUUAACCUGCUGUCCCCUCACCAAUGUAGUUUGAUUCAUUUAGAUUGUUUGUAGCAGACUAGACCUCCUCAAUGGAGACUUCCACACUAGAAUCUUUUGGCAUUGCCAAAUCUGUAGCUGCCAAUUAAUUUAUCUACCUUUUUAGUCUGUUAUACACAACAUGUUCAAAAGUUGCAAAAAUGAAAGAAAAGAAAGUGGCGGCUAUUUUUUAGGUAACCUGAUAGCGACUAUCUGGAGAGGUACAUUACCAAAUUUCUUAUUAGAUGCAUCUACUUGCCAAAUUCUUGUACUUGAUAGUAUACUUGUAAAUUUCUUAUCAAAUUCUAGUACUUGUAAGUGUUUGACCAAAAAGUGUUAAACAUUUUUGUUAAACUAAUUAAGUAAAUGAUAAUAGGUAAAUUCUAGUUAAAUAUAAUAAGUCCUAGAUCCAAGAUUGAUGGGUAGUAAUAACCUAGAAAUCACAUUCAAAGCUAUUAAAAACCAAAAGGAGAUUUAGUGAUAUUCUUGUGAAUAAAUGAGGGAAUGAGGACAAACAAUAAAUAUGAUGAAUGACAAUAGCUGUAAUAAAGAGAAUAAUUCACCCAAAUGUAUAACAAGGUGGAUGAUGUUGAAUAUGUCAAAACAUCCCACAUCGGUUGGGGAGAAAAUUGGGUGGGAAUUUCACCUAUAAAAAUAGGCCUAAUAUUUAAGAUUUAAACACACCUCUCAUUUGCCUUCUUAUCUUCUUAAGGCAUUUGUAUCUUCUCUCUUUAGUAUUAUUUCACUUGUAUUUUUGGAGUGGAAUAAAAUAUUGGUUGUGUCCGAGGAAAUAGGCAAAAUUGACCGAACCUCGUAAAUUCUGGUGUUCCUUUUAUUGUUGCUUUAUUGUCUUAUUUAUUAUUUGGUAGCUGUCAUAAUUUUUGGUAUAGUUGUUGUGACUCAUUCACACUAUAUAUAUUUGGCUUCCGCAACAGAUGAUUCCCCCUCUGACAAUGAUGUAAGAUAACCAAACGUGGGAAUAUGAAAUACUUUAUUGAACAACACAUCCAAUCCAAUCUUGUAUAAAGAUAAAGUCUGUAGUUAUGUGGGAGUCAACUUUUCUAGAGAGAACUUAUCAAGAUAGAAAAUUAGAUGUCUCCUCUUUCUCUCUCUAUUCCUACUUAUAUGUGACAUUCCUCUUACCUACUGAAAGUACAACUAUAGAGAAUAUUUUUCUAAAUAUUCUUUAGAAAUAUCUUGCUAAACUAGCUGUUUUGACCGAUCUGAGUCCUCGACCUCAACAUUCGUUGCUCGGCUCGCCAGUCAGGGGCGGAUGCACGCUUCCUCAAGCGGUGUCAUGCGACAUCGCUUUGUCGGAAAAUUUUACUAAAAAUAAGUAUUAAUACUGUACGGAAACGGAUAAGUAAGAAAAAAUGACAUCACUUGACAUAAAUUGUGCCUUGGUGUGUUGGUUUUAUGCUUGAUUUUGCUCUUAGAGGUCAAAGGUUCAAACCUCAACAUUUUUCUUUUGUAAAUAUUUGAGAGAGCCUUUGUAGUUAAAAAUUGUGAUGAAAUAGAAUUGGACUCAAAAUCUUUUUUAACUUAAGACUCAACAAAGCCAAUAAACUAAGGUUAUUUCUUGUCUAAAAGUAUGAUAAUCAAAGUAACAUUCCAGUUCUUCUAUAAAUUUUGACACCGCUUACAAAAAUUCCUGCAUACGCUCCUGUCGCCAGUGUUGUUUUUUAAGCAUCACCUCGGCCUAAUUGAUUCUUGAUUUCCCUAUUUCAGGCAAGGUCCCUUCGAUUAAAUCUUGACCCAUACACCAAGUGUUACCAAAACUGCAAACCUACAUAUGUCUGGUUCAACCUCCAUGUAUCCUCAUUUUCUGAGUUCAUUUCCUUUAUAUAUUUCCAGCUAUUUAUGUAGGACUCACAUGACUGACCCCCUUGGUCAAAUUGAAAGUUAUUAGUCAAACUUUCGAGUUUGUCUCCUAACUUCAUGUUAACAUCGGUAACAGAGAAAUCUGAGCAGCUGCCACCACCUCUUGUUAGUUUCUCAACCCCACAACUAUCCCAUUUCGGCAUUUCCUCCUUCAUUUAUCUUAGUCAAGCAGUUCGUCUGCUGAGUCGAAUUUAGGUACAAUUGCCCUGUUUCAUUUGCUCUGAUUCCCAUUACAUAAAUGUAGUCUCGGAACGGUUCUUCACAAUCAUCAUUCAAAUUUCUCUGUUGAUAUAUAAUAGCUGCGUUAUGUCAGCAAGAAAAGAAAAAAAACAGUGCUAAAUAUGGAGGUAAAAUUUAAGUCAUAUUUUAUUAAGAGAAAAAAGCCGUCAGCAUUUAAAUGCUGUGCCCGGGCCCAAGCGUUGGGUUGCAUGAGCUCCGAUAAUGAUUUUUUUUUAAACCAGCCGAUGAUAUGUUAACAUUGUGAAAUUUUUUGCUUGUUUUUGUUACUCUCUGUCUUUAUUUUAAAUUGUCAAUCUAGUUUAAACAUUAUAAAUAACUUUUGUAGUUUCAAUUUGUUAUUUUUUUGAUAUUAAAAUUUGUAAGGCUUAGAAAUUAUAAAAGGUAUAUUCUUAUACAUUAAUUUUCAUUACUACGAUAUUUUGGCAAACUUGUUUUUCCCCAGAUGGCUUUAUUUCUCUACUUUAUUACUCUCUUCAGUCCACAAUAAGUGAUCAAUUUGCAUUGGACACACCCAUUAAGGAAAUGCUCAAUUCUAGACGAAAAUAGUUAGUGUGACCAAACUAUCCUUCAUUAAAUGUUGCACCAUAGUUAUAGUAACACUUACUUCACUUCUCAAAUGUGAGGAGUAAAUAACUUUUUAAGGAUACGUACAUAAGAGUAAUUUCGGAAAAAUAAAUAAUUUUUUUUUAAUUAUACAAAUGAAAACUUAUUUUGGACCAAAAUAAAAAAAUAAAUUGGUCAUUUAUUGUGAACCGGAGGGAGUAGAAGCUAAGAAGGUUGUAUUAGUUUUGGUAAUAGGAAUAUCUUCUUUUAGAGUGUCUUUUUCCACAAGUUUGUCCAAUUGUGAUACAAUUAUAGUGUACCCAAUGUAUCGUAAUGUUCAAUGUUGCUUAUGCCAAUUUAUGGUAGCAGUGCGAAUCAUCUUUCAGGUGUACUUUAUUCUAAUAUCACUGGUGAGUGGCUCUUCUUUCUCCUCUCUACAUUUUCCAAAGAAAAAAUAAGGGCUCCUCUUUCUUCAUGCUAGGAGGCCUCAUUGUGGAAAAUAAAUUUGGAAAGGACUUACCAGUCAUUUCAUCUUAAUUAGCAUUCUAUCAGUGUCACUUAUGAUUUAAGGAUCCAUAAUUUUUGCACCACCUGAACCCAAUAAUUUACCUAGGUCAGAAGCCAGAAACUGAAAAUUCAAAUAAUUUUCAAAUUGAAAAAAAAAUUCUAAUAUUCACAUCUAAUCCAGUUUAAGCCAACUGUAGGUCAUACCGCAAGUUUAGAACUCAAGCCACAUUCAUCACUGGUAGAAGGCUAGACGUGCUUAUAAGAGCAUGUGCUCUCACACAAGGUAACAUUUUGACGAUGAAUUGACACAGAAUGUUUAGUUAAAGACCUCUAAUUAGACAUGCAAAGAAUGUAUAGUUUAUUAAUGCAUUUGUCAAUUAUUGGAAACUCAUUUUUAUUUUUAAUAAAUUAUUACAUGUAAAGCUGGUUAGUUGUAAUAUAUCCUUUUUUUUUUUUUUUACAUUUUUGGUUUAUUAUACUCUCUUCAAUGUAUUUGUUAGCUAUAGUAUACUACUUAUUUUAUUGAAUUUUUUGUGUUUUAUAGACUUUUUACAAUUAAACUUCCACAUAUUGUGUGUCAAACCCACGGAAAAAAUUAAGGAAGACUACAUAAACAUUAUUAUUAUUAUUCAUGUAAUAGGUUACAAAUGCAAUUGAAGAGAUAUGUGUGAAAAGUUUUAGGCGGGCUCCUUAUUCUAUGAUAACUUUUGAGAAUUUUCCAUUUUUCAUUUUCCAUAGUGAAAUAGUAAGUUUUGGUGGUACCAUUUCCCUUCAAAUUCACUUACGUAUACCUUAAAGUUUGUUACAGUAUCAAAAAAGGAUACUCCACAAGGAACGAAAACGGAAACAAAUUUCUAUAUAGGAAAAUCAUUUCUAACUUCUCUUCUCUUUUGUAAACUUAUAAAUACUGCUUUAAAGGUUUGAGUAUAUUUUUGUUCUUCUACUUUUUCAAAAGGUAAAACAAAUAUUUUCGUUACAUAGUAGAGCACUAUUUUUAACGCUGUUAAUUUAGGAAACCACAUAAAAAAUUCCCAGGAGAACGUUAAAUUUUGAAUCGGAUUUCCAUUAUUUGAUUUCAAAUAUUACCAAGUAUUCUACUGUGGAUCUGUAUGCUUAAUUGAAAACAAAAGUUGCACCAAAUCUAAAAGGAAAAAAAAUUGGGUGGGGUUGGAACGUGGGACCUAGAAACAAAAUUGGUCAGCAUAAAGUUAUUGGGUGAAGAAGCGUGCGGUGAUGGUUAAUGACAUAAGCCCAGGGGUAGUUUAGUCAAAGAGUUCACAAUUUUAUACAUAAGCUACAGUAAGAUUCUUUUUUAAGCAAUCAUAUUCUUCCAUUUUAACUAACAUGACCGGUUUACCCUUUCAAUCCCAAGCAAGCAUGUUGACCUGCUGCCUACUUAUUCUCCUUUAUUAAUAGAGAGAAAAAUGUAGGAAGGUUUCUAGCAGCUUAUACUACGUUGUCACUUUGAUUUUGCUCUAUUAGUUUUGUCUUUUAUCCAUUUGUAUUAGACAAAGAAACCAAUGACUAGAGCCCAGAGAGGUCAAAUACUAUUAGUAUGUGGCCAUGCUUCACGAUGUGAAAAUACUAAUACAAUUAGUUUACUUAUGAGGUAAUGAAUUUAACUUUUGAGAUAAUUAUACGUAAUAAUUUUUGACAAUACUACUAGUUAUCCAAAAGAUAACUAUAAAGUAAGUUUUAAUGAUAAGUGAAAUUAGUAUUCUCGAAAACAAGGCAUGUUACCAGCUAUAAUAUUAAAAACUAUUAGGAGUAAUUAUUUUAUAAUUUCUUACAAAUAUCAGCCUACGUAAGUCAAAUCUUUCAUGAAAAAAUCUUUCAUCUUUAUGUACGAAAUGAUAUAGAGUUUCCUUUUAAUGUAAGUGUUAGGAUCGGAACCUGGUUAGUGCGGAAUUUAGUUAAACAAUAUUAUAAUGACAAUAAUAAAAACAAUAUAAGUUGAUAAUAAUGAUAAUUAAAGCACAUAAAGAAGACACUAAUUUAACGUGUUCGGUCAGUGUGACCUACGUCCACAAGCGGAGAGGAACAAUUUCACUAUAGCAACAAGAAUACAAGAGAGAGUACAAAAUUAGAGUAACCAUACUCUAAUUAAUCCCUAAUACCCCAAGAGAAUAACCUCACAAGAUCACUCCAAAGAAAAGGUUCACACAAGUAUUUUCCAACACUCAACUCUCUUACAAAACUCUAUCAUAAAUGAAAGAAAAGGCAAGAGAUGAUUGUCUCAAACUUUGGUGUGUAUGAUAUGGACAUUUUCUAGCCUAUUUAUAAGAAAAUAAGAUGGUCAUUGUAUGGAAUAUGAUUGGCCACCAAUACCUUUAGUGAAUGGACAUAAAAUAUCCAACAAGUGACCAAUGAAAGACCAUAGAGAAGCCAACAAUGUUUAUAGUCUAUGGCCAAAAGUAGGCCACGUAUAUCACAUAUCUCCACCUUGGACCGGUUUUGGAUGAUAUAAUAAGAUUUCUUAUCCUUCUCCGCAAAAGCUUAGUGGGUGAAAUUAUUCUUCAUAAAUGCCAAGCAAGUUUAAGCAUGGCAACUGGAAGAGAUUUCGUGAAUAUGUCAGCAGGAUUAUCUUUAGUGUUGAUCUUCUGAACAGAGACUUUUCCUUCAGCUAUGGUUUCUUUGAUGAAGUGAUACUUGAUAUCAAUAUGCUUCGUCCUCUCAUGAUACAUAUGAUCUUUCGUCAAGUGAAUGACACUUUGACUAUCACAGAAAAUGGUAAUACCACCUUGGUGUGAGUUGAGUUCAGCAAAUAGACCCUUCAAUCACAAGGCUUCUUUGAUCGCCUCAGUCACUGACAUAUAUUCUGCUUUUGGUAAUAGAUAAAGCUACUACAUGUUGUAAUGUAGCUUUCCAACUGAUAACGCAACCAUCAAUACAAAAUACAUAGCUUGUUCAGUGAUCUUCUUUUGUCAAGAUCACAUGCAUAAUCUGAGUCUACAAAACCAACCAAAGUGUUAGUAUUUCUCCCAAAUUCCAAACAUGUGUUUGAAGUACCUUGCAAGUAUCUGAGAAUCCAUUUCACAGCCUGCCAAUGUGCUUUACUAGGGCAAGCCAUAUACCGGCUUACCACACUUACUGCUUGUGAAAUGUUUGGACGUAUACAAACCAUUGCAUACAUAAUACUGCCGACUGCACUGGAAUAAGAUACAUGUGCCAUAUACCUCUCUUCUUCUCUGACUGCGGGGACUGAGUAGCUGAUAACUUAAAAUGAGCAGUAAGAGGGGUACUAACUGGUUUAACAUCUUUCAUGCCAAACCUCUCCAAGACUUUUUCCAAGUACUUUUUCUGGGUCAGGAAUAGCGUGUUGGAUCCUCGAUCUCUUUUGAUCUCUAUGCCAAGGAUUUUCUUAGCUUCCCCCAAAUCUUUCAUCUCAAAUUCACUUUUCAAUUGACUUUUCAAAUUGUGAAUUUAUGUCAAAUCCUUAGCAACAAUGAGCAUGUCAUCAACAUAUAAUAAUAGUUACACAAAUGAACCAUCAUUUAACUUCCGGGAGUAAACACAACUAUCAUACAUGCUCCUCGAAUAAUCAUGACCAUACAUAAAGGAAUCAAACCUUUUAUUCUAUUGUCUUGGAGACUAUUUUAAUCUAUAUAAGGAUUUCUUCAACAAGCAAACAUGAUCGAUCUUCUUUUCCUUCAAUUUCAAAUCCUUCGGGUUUAUGCAUGUAUAUUUCUUCCUCAAGUUCGCCAUGUAAGAAAGUUGUCUUAAUAUCAAGAUGUACUAAUUCCAAAUCAUACAUGGCAACUAAGAUAAGCAAGACACGAAUAGAGCUAUGUUUAACGACAGGUGAGAAAAUAUCAUUAAAAUCAACUCCGUGUACCUGACUAUAGCCAUUUGCAACUAAGCGUACUUUAUACUUGACCAUCCUUUUUCUUGAAGACCCAUUUGCAACCAACAAUUCUUUUUCCUGAUGGCGGCUUUACAAGAGACCAAGUACCAUUCUUGUGGAGAGACUCAAUUUCUUCAUUCAUUGCAAUCAGCCACUUGGUUGAGUCUGCACCAGAAACUGCUUCUGAAUAUUUUGAUGGUUCUCCAAUUUCUUCAGUGUCCUGUUCAACUGAAAAAGCAAAUGCAACAUAAUCUCCAAAACUUAAUGGAUGUUUACUUUCUCUUCUUGGUCUCUGUUUGGCUAUAUAAUACUCCUCUUUUUUCGGUUCAACUUCAAGAGUCUCAACUUCAGGAAUUUCAGCUUCUGGCUCAACUUCAGGAGUUUCAACUGUUUUUUUCUCCAAAGUUGAUGAGCUUGGCUAAGAAGGAAUGCUAAUCUCAACCUCCACAUGCUUCUAUGUACUCUUUCCUUUAUCUGUAUUACAAGAACUAGAAGACUCUUUUCUAGAAUGUAACAUAGAGGAUUCAUCAAAGGUUACAUCUCUACUAAUUAUAAAUUUUGGUACCAUGGGAUAAUGAUACCAUAGUCGGUAUCCUUUUAACCCAGAUGCAUACCCAAGAAAAAUGCACUUUUUAGCCCUUGGCUUUAAGUUUCCAUCAUUCACAUGCAUGUAUGCAGGGCAACCAAAUAUCUUUAAAUCAGAAAAUUUGCAGAGUACCUGAACACAUCUCCUCUGGAGUCUUAAAGUUCAAUGGUGCAUAAGGAGCUUGAUUGACAAUAUAACAAGCUGUAGAGAUAGCUUCUGCCCAAAAGGCGUUUGUCAACCCAUCAUUUGAAAUCAUGCAACGAGCUCUUUCCAAAAGAGUUCUAUUCAUCCUUUCUGCCACAUCAUUUUGAUGAGGUGUCAUUCUCACAGUACGAUGUCGAGCAAUUUCUUCAUUCUUGCAAAAUUUGUUGAAUUCAUCAUUACAAAAUUCCAAACCAUUAUUUGUUCUAAGCCGCUUAAUCUAUUUUCCUGUUUGUUUCUCAAUCAAAACUUUCCAUUGUUUGAAAGUUAAGAAAACAUCANNCUGAAUGAAUGUAAUCCAAAGUAAAUUUUGUUCUAUGAAUCGCUGGAGAUUUGAAGCUGACUCUUUUCUGCUUUCCGAACAUACAAUGUUCACAUAACUCUAUAUUUUCAGUACUUUGGCCACACAAGAGACCUCUUUUGCUGAGGAUGGAAAGACCUUUUUCAUUCAUAUGUCCCAAUCGCAUAUGCCACAAUUUGGUGAUGUCAGAAUUUGAUUUAUUUGAUCUUGAAACUACAGCAACACCUAUAACAGUAGAUCCCAAUAAUGUAUACAACGUACCAGAUCUGCGUGCUUUCAUGACCACAAGAGCACCAUGAGAAACUUUCAGAACUCCACCUUCACCUGUGUACUUGCACCCAAGAGAUUCUAGAGUGCCCAAAGAGAUGAGUUUUUUUUCAAGUCAAGAACAUGUCUAACAUCGGUUAGAGUUCUCACCACACUGUCGUGCAUUUUGAUUCGGACUGUACCUUUUCCAAUAACUUUGUAGGCAACAUUGUUGCCUAUCAAGCUACUUCACAUUCAACAGAUUUUUAUGUGGUAAAUAAAUCCCGAUUGGGACACAUAUGAUAAGAACAAUCCGAAUUCAAAAUCCACUCAUUGUUAGAUUUGAAACUAUUAUUAGUUGCUAAAAAGUUAGCUCUCUUAGUCUCAUUAGCAGCUACACUUGCUUCGACAGUAUCAGUAUUUUUGUGCUCAUUUUCUUUUCUAUAUGCUUUUCUUUGUUUUUCAACUUAAAGCAUUAGAAAUAAUGUGGCCUUUCUUAUGACAGUAUUUGCACAUGACAUUUAUAUAUCUGAAUUUUGACCUUGAUUUAGGCCUCUCACUAUUUGAAUCUUUCUUAAUGGAUCUACCUCUUACAAACAAGCCUUCUCCUUGGUUCCCACUAGUUUCCCUAGUAAUAUCUCUAUCUAUUUGUUCUUUAUAUUUCAAAAUAGAUUUGAUAUCUUUAUAAGAUAUAUUAUUCUUUUUAUAAAGCAUAGUAUCUCUUAUAUGUUUAAACAACUGGGGUAAGGAAACAAGCAAUAACACAGUUUGAUCCUCAUCUUUGAUUUCGGCAUAUAUGUUACUCAAAUCCAUAAGAAGAGAAUCAAAAGUAUCGAGAUGUGUAAGUAUAAUGGUACCUUUAGCCAUACGAAAAGUGUAGAAUUUUUGCUUUAGGUAAAGCCUGUUUUCUACUGUCCUUUUCAUAUAUAGGGUUUUCAGUUUUUCCCGUAUGUCUUUGGCUAUGCUUUUUGCUACAACUUAACGCAAAAACUCAUUUGAGAGAUUUAAAAUAAUACCUGCUUUUGUCUUUUUGUCUACGGAAAAGGGUCUGAUAUAUUCCUCUACUAUUAAAAAUUAUUUAAAAUUGCCAUUCGUUAUACUAUUGGCUCAAGAAAAUCCCUAUCGUCUUACUAUUGAAGCACAUAUACUCCUAACUUGAUGGACUGGACACGUGGCACCCAUCCAAAGAUGUUGGUCAAUAUGGUCUAAAUUUAAAAGCGACCCGCCCCAUUACCCAUAACCCAGCUCUCUUGUUGGAACUCUACCCUCUUUUCAUUUUCCAUUUUUAAAAGCUGCAAAAGCGAAAAAUCUUUGGGGAAAAUGAGGACGGAAAGUAGUAAAGAAGAAGAAGAUUUUCCCUGUAUUGAAAGCAUGACUCCUCAAACCAAGAUCGACUCUCUUUACCAAUUCAAAACUGGAAAAUUACUCUCUCUAUCUCUCUCUGCCUUUUCUCUACUUUCUUUUUCAUUUUCAUUUUGUUUAAUUGCUGAGAAAAUAGGCGUGAUAGCAAAUUAAACCUCUCUUAUGUUGUGAGGUUCUUUUUUCUUUGAUUUCCAUCAAUAUUUUGAACCAUGUUUUUAACUUUUCAUCUGGGUAUUCGUUGUUUUCUUGGAGUUCUAAUUCAAAUUUGUUUAUUAGGUUUUCAUUAUUUCAAGUGCUAAAGGUAAAAGGUUGGUGCUUUGAUGAAACGUGAAAGUGUGUAUUCUUUUCUUAAAGUUGAUCUAUUUUCUAAGCUAAAUUUUUUAUUUUCGAGGUGUUAUAUUACUUUUGAAAAUCUUAUUCAGUUUGAUUUCAUGGGAUAUCCAUAUUUCCAGUAAAAAACCUAAUUUUGAUCGCUGAAGAGGAAUUGAACUAUUAUUUUGGGAGUUCAAAUUCAAUUAAACUAAAAGAAGGUUGGGUUAUGGAUACCGGAUAAUGGAUCGGGUCGCUUUUAAUUUAAGAUCGGAUGGACCAACAACUUUUGAUAGCUGCCAUGUGUCCAGUCCGUCAAGUUAGGAGCAUAUGUGUUUCAAUAGUAAGACGGUAAGAGUUCUUUUGAGCCAAUAGUAUAACGGAGGGUAAUUUUAAAUAACUUUUAAUAGUAGAGGGGGUAUAUAAGACCCUUCUCCGUUUUGUCUAUGACGACAAACUCCUCGUCCGUCAUUUUAUCCAGCUUGUUUUUAGUGUAGUGCCAAAUCUUAGCCAUCCUAAAGUAGGAUAGCUUCCAUCUUUGAUUGUUACAUUUCGAAGUUUGCACUUCGGUCAAAUUUUUCAACAUAGGUCUUUGCUAAAGUUAUUUUGGCUAUUGAAACUAACCUGGUUAGAUCCGGCUUUAAUAUCAAUUCGUUAGGACCGAAAAUCCGGAUAGUGCGAAAUUUAACCAAACAAUGUUAUGAUGACAAUAACAAAGACAAUUCGAGUUGAUAAUAAUGGUAGUUAAAGCAUAUAAAGAAGGUACCAAUUUAGCGUGGUUAGGUCAGUGUGACCUACGUCCAUAAGCGGAGAGGAACAAUUUCACUAUAAUAAUAAGAGUACAAAAGAGAGUACAAAAUUAAAGUAAAUACUCUAAUUAAUCCCAAAUAUCCUAAGAAAAUAACCUCACAAGAUCACUCCAAAAAAGGUUCACAAGUAUUUCCCAACACUCAACUCUCUUACAAAACUCUAUAAUGAAAUAAAGGAAAGGCAAGAGACGUUUGUCUCAAACUUUGGUGUGUAUGAUAUGAAUAUUUUCUAGCUUAUUUAUAAGAAAAUAAGAUGGUCAUUGUAUGGAAUAUGAUUGGCCAGCAAGGCCUUUAAUGAACAGACACAAAAUAUCCAACAAGUGACCAAUGAAAGACCAUAGAGAAGCCAACCAGGCUUAUGAUCUAUAGCCAAAAGUAGGCCACGUAUAUCACAGUAAGAUUUACUAAGCAUCCUUUAGAAUUUUCCAAUUAUUAUUUUAUUUUAACCGAAUAGUAGUGAGUAUAAUUGAUAAGAUACUAAGUGUGUGUUUGGUAUGCCAGAAAAUGUUUUCCGUGGAAAAUAUUUUCUUGGAAAACAAGUAGUAAUCUUACUCAUUUUUCAGUGUUUGGUAUGCAAAUUAAGGAAAAUAACUUCUCAAGAGUAUUCAUAAAUAAUUUAGAUACAAUAAACAUGAAGCCAUAAACUUUCGAACCAACAACCUUCCGAACCCACAAAUUUCAUAAACUUCCAAACCGCUAAACUUUCGAAACUGCGAACUUUCGAACCUGUAAACUUUAUAAUUUCUAGUUACCCGUAAACUUUCAAACACAUAAACCUUCAAACUCAUAAUUGUGGAACAAGUAAAAUUUCGAACCUGUAAAUCGAAAGAUGAAAAAAACAAAACCUUAAAAUAUAAAUAAAAAAUAUUCCGCCCCAGGGGUGCAGAAAUUUGAAAUAACAAAUUUUUUUUUGUGUGCGUGGUGGGGUGGGGGUGCGGAAAAACGAAAAAAUAAAAAUUUGAAAAUACAAAAAAAAGUAAAAAAAAAAAUAAUUUUUCUGCGGGGAGGGGGGUGGGCAGGGGCGAGGGAGUGCAGAAAAACGAAAAAAAUAGAAAAAAAAGUAAAAAAAAAUAUUUUUUAUUGCCGGGGGGGGGGGGAUAGCAGGGUGGGUGGUGACGGGAAAAAAAUUGAAAUUUGAAAAAAAAAGCUUUUUGGAGAGACGGGGCGGGAGAGGUUGGAUAGGGAGAGAAGGGGGCGGGUGUUGGGGUUAGAUGUGAGGGUAAGUGGAGUUUUUGAAAAAUAUUUUCGUAACUUUUUAUAGGGAAGUCAUUUUCCUCUAAUUUUAGGAAAAUGUGAUUUCUAGGAAAAUAUUUUUCAAACUAUUUUGUGCAACCAAACAGUGGAAAAUGGAAAAAUAUUUUUCGCAAAAUAUUUUCCGUCAUACCAAACACACCCUAAGGCCCAAAAAAAUAAUUGGAAGGUAGUUUGGUGUUCAGCGUCGUGGGGGAGUCAACCAUCUCCUAGGAUCUUUUCUUGUUUGUUCUUUUCUAAUGAGUAAUUUAUGAUGAAACGACUGACAAUAUUACGAAAACAAAUUUGAAUCACCCAAAUUCAUCAUUAUUCAUUUUGCUACUCUUUUCGAUUAAGCUCACAACUCAGUAUUGUAUGGGUUAAAAUUAGGUCUAGUUUAGCGAAUGCAGACGGACAAGCUGAGGCCGAGGUCGAAACCAAGCACGGACCAGUGGCGAGGAGUUGCUCAAAGGGAGAGACCAGUGCCGAGGUCGAGUAGAGAGCAAACGACUGCAACUAUUAGAAUACUCUUGUGAUGACCCAAAUGGUCAUCUUAAGUUUUAGAACUCGAUUUCAUGUUCCGAGGCCUUCAAAACCUUAUUUUAUUCCUCCUCUAUUUACGUGUCAGUCUGGGCAUAUUUCCGGAAAGCCUUUAUGUGGAAAAUUGAUGAAAUAAUAAUUUUUGGCCUAAAAAGUUGAUUUUUGUUGACUUCGGUCAAUGUUUUGAGUAAACAGAACCAGACCCGUAUUUUGACGGUCCCGAUGGGUCCGUAAUAAAAUAUGGGACAUGGGCGUAUGCCCGAAAUCGAAUUCUGAGGUCUCUAGCCUGAGAAAUGAAUUUUUGAUGAAAAUUGUAAGACUAAAAGUAUAAUGGUUUAAAGAAUUUUGGUGAUAUUUGAUCUAGUUAGUAUCAGAUCUGUAUUUUGGUUCCGGAGCCCGGUACAGGUACGUUAUGAUAUUUAUAUCCUAUCUGUGAAAUUUGGUGAGAAACGAGACUGAUUUGACGUAACUCGGACCUUCGGUUGAGAAAAUAGAAGUUUUAAAACUUUUUUGAAACUUUCAUGCAAUUUGGUGCUAAAUUCGUACUUCUAGGAGUUAUUCUGGCGAUUUGAUUGCAGGACAAGUUUGUAUGAUAUUUUAAGACUUGUGUGCAUGUUUGGUUUGGAGCCCCGAGGGCUCGGGUGAGUUUCGGAUAGGCUACCGAGUGAUUUGAACUUAGGAAAUUUUGCUAGUAUGCUUUAGAUCUGUAGACUUCGCAUUUGCGAAGUUUGGCUCGCAAAUGCGAUUAAGAAAGUUCGCAUUUGCGAGCAAUGAGGCUGGGAGGGAACCUUCGCAAUUGUGAAGCUCAAGAUCGCAAUUGCGAUCAAUAUUGGCCGCAUUUGCGAACAAUUGUUCGCAUUUGCGAUAUUAGCAGGUCCAGGUCGGUCUUCGCAUUUGCGAGGCAAAGUUUGCAUUUGCAGGGUUCGCAUUUGCAGACCCCUGAUUGCAAAUGCGAUACCUGCAAUGGGUCAAAUAUGAUUUUGGACGGGAUUUUUCAUCCAUUCUCCAAUUUUUCAAAACCUAAAACACAAGAGGUAAUUUUUCAAACACUUUCUUCCCCAAAUCAUAAGUAAGUGAUUGUUAACUAGUUUCUUUCAAUCUUUUACCUCUUUUUACAAGAUUUUAACCUAGAAUCUAAGGUUUUCAUGGCGGAAUUGGGGAUUUCUGGGUAGAAAUUAGAAAUUUUGAAAUUUGGGGAUUGAGACCUCAAAUUGAGGUCGGAUUCCAAUACUAAUUAUGUAUUCGGGCUCGGGAGUGAAUGUGUAAAUGAGUUUUGGUCCAAACCUCGUGUUUUGACCAAGCAGGCCCGGGUCAUUGUUUUGACUUUUUGGGGGAAAUAUUGGGAAAUUUAUAAUUAUGCAUUUGAAUUGAUUUCUUUAGCGACACUUUAUGUUAUUAAGUUAAUUAUGAAUAGAUACGAGUGAUUCAGAGGUGAAAACAAGAGGAAAAAUGAUAAUUGAGCUUUGAGUUGGCCGUUGGAUUGAGGUAAAUAUUUUGUCUAACUUUGACUCGAGGGAUUAGGGAUCCCCGACUUAAUUGCUAUGUGAAAUUUAAUGUGUGUGGUGUAUAGGUGAGGUGAUGAAUACCUAUGCACUGCCUUAUCUAUUUUGACUGUUCCCUUCCCAUUCUUAAUAUAUUGUUCCCUACUGCUACCAGUUUUACUGAUAUUUUCAUGAUUAGUUGCUACUUGUUGGAUAUUAUUUUCGUUGUUAAAAGUAUUGGAUAUUACGUGGUUUCAUUGAUUCAUUUUAUUGGUUUAAGCUGGCUAUCAGUGUUUAUUAGUAUACUUUGGAUUGGUUUCGAUGAGUAGUAUAAUUCGAGUGAAGUUUCAUAAUUUUACCGCUUUCCGUUUGUUUUAGUUGAGGUCGAAUACCAUGGGGAGUUUUGAGCCAAAUUGUGAAAUUUCUGUUCUUAUUGUGUGAUUGGUAUUGAUAUGGUAGGAUCGGGUUGCACGCCGCAAAAGGAUGAAUAUGGGUGAUAUAUUGAGGAGGAAUAAGGGUGAAAUGUUAUUAUAUGGUGGGAUCGGGUUGUGCGCCGCAACAGGAGGAAUAAUGGUGAUAUAUUGAGGAGUAAUAAGGGUGAAUUGCUAUUGUACGGUGGAAUCGGGUUGCACGCUGCAACAGGAGGAAUAAGGGUGGAGUGAUAUGGAGUAAUAAGGGUGAAUGUUCAUAUUGUUACUGAUUAUAUGGUGGGAUCGGGAUGGGCGCCUCAUCAGUUUAUUAUUUAUGUAUCCUUCCUCUACUGUGAAGUUAUUCUGUAGUUUUGUAGUUCACUUAAUAGUUGGUUAUAACUGGGUACUAACAAGAUAUUUGAGUUUUGUAUUCAUUUUUUUGUUGCAAGUUACCAUUUCAUUUUGUCCCGUACUUCUUUUCGCUUUAUUACAUACUAUAUGCAGAUUAUAUUGUAAUUGCCCCGCCGUAGCCUCGUCACUGCCUCGUCGAGGUUAGGCUCGGCACUUACUAGUACAUGGGGUCGGUUGUACUGAUAUUGCACUCUGCACUUUCAGUGCAAAUUUUAGAGCAGGCAGUGAUUGAUUGAGAGAUUGGUUGCAGGUUCACAGUUUUGAGACCUAAGUAGUCAUGUUGGCAUCCGCAGGCCCUGGCGUCACCUUCUACAUUUCUACAUUUCUAUUUUUCUUUCGUUUCAAAAUAGAUAUAAUUUCUUUCAGACCGAUAUUUGUAGUAAUUCAUAGUAUGUUCGUGGAUUGUGACACCAGAUUCUGGGUAGUAGUAGUAGUAAUAGCUAUGGUACUAUUAAUAGUAUAUAGACAAAAGGUUAUUUACGUAGUUCCGCAUUUACUUCUACUUGAUUUAGUUUGUUAAAUUUUAAUCUAUGAUAUGUAAAGGAAAAAUGUUAAUAGAACUCUAACGUUAGCCUGCCUAGCGAGUACGAUGUUGGGCUCCAUCACGGUCCCGAUGGUGGAAAUUCCGGGUUGUGACAAGUUGGUAUCUGAGCACUAGGUUGCCUAGGUCUCACAAUUCAUGUACAAACUUAGUAGAGUCUGAGGUAUCAGUACGGAGACGUCUGUGCUUAUCCACCAGAAGCUACAGAGUUUAGGACCAAUUUCACUUCUAUUCUUCUCUGUCGUGCAAUUUGAUCUCUCAAUGCUAAUUGAACUCUUUACUCUUGUUCCUUCGCAGAUGGCGAGAACACGUACCACUUCUUCAGUUGAGCAGCAGUUAGAGACCCUAGUGGCAGCUCCUACGAGAGGCCGAGGCCGUGCUAGAGGCUAAGGCAGGGGCAGGGCUCAGCCAAGAGCUCGAGCAGCAGCACCAGCGGUGGAGCCUCAGGUAAAGUUUGAUGAAGAGGUUCCAGCCCAGAACAUUCCAGCAGGCUAGCUCAGGUUCUAGAGGGGUUCAUCGCUACCCCGGUACUUCAGGAUGCUUUGGUUAGUCUAGUGGGCCUUAUAGAGAGUGUUGCUCAGGCCAACACAUUUCCUAUAGCACCAACCGUCUCUUAGGCUGGGGGAGGAGCCUAGACUCCUGCUACUCACACUCCGAACUAGAUGGCUCCCCAGUUUCAGACUCCAGCAGCUCAGCCAGUUGGGCUAGUUCCGCUGGGUGCUGUAGCAUAGACCGACGAUGGAUUAGCUAAGUCUUAUGAGGAUUUAUGGAGAUUGGAUAGGUUUACCAUGCUUUUUACCACUCACUAUAGCAGUACAUCUUCAGAGGAUACCCACGACUAUCUAGACAGUUGUCACGAGGUAUUACGAAACAUGGGGAUAGUGGAGACCAAUAGGGUCGACUUUGUUGCCUUUCAUCUGUCAGGUUCCGCCAAUAAAUGGUGAAGGGAUUUUUGUUUGGCCAUACCAGUUGGGUCGCCGGCUCUUACUUGGGACCAGUUCUCUCAGAUAUUUCUGGAGAAGUAUCUUCCUAUCACUCAGAAAGAGGACUAUCGAAGGUAGUUCGAGCGCUUUCAGCAGGUUUCUAUGACUGUCACUCUAUACAAGAGUAGAUUUGUUGUUUUUGCCCGUCAUGCUCUUCUUAUACUUCCUACCGAGAGAGAGAGAGGGUGAGGAGGUUUAUUGAGGGACUUGCUCAGCCUAUCAGAUUGUAGAUGGAUAAGGAGACAGGGAGUGAGAUUUCUUUCUAGGAUGCAACCAAUGUGGCCAGAGGAGUUGAGAUAGUUCUAGCUCAGGGAAGUGGUCAGGGGUCUGACAAGAGGCCGCGUCACUUCGGUGGAUUCAGUGGGGAUUCAUUUGGAGGUCGAGGUACUUUUCGUAACGACCAUUCUCCUAGGUCGUUUCAUUCAGCACUUCAGACAUCCUAUGGAGCUUCAGGGAGUCGUGGUCCUUAUGCACCUCCUUCAGGGAAGCCAACUUAUAGUGCACUACCAACUCCUAUCAGAGCACCUCCUCUUCAAAGUUAUUAUCGUGGUUAGUUGGCCCAUCAGGGUCAGUCUCAGUUUCCACAACCGCAAUAUCAGGAUAGAUGUUUCGAGUGUGGUGAGUAUGGGCAUAUCCGAAGGACCUGUCUGAGAUUAAUGGGUGUUCAGUCACAGCAGUAGGGUUCUUGUGCCAUGAUUCUGGCACCGCCCACUCAGCCAACUAGUGAUAGGGUUCAGGGAGCCAAAUAUAGGGGUUAGGCCAUUAGAGGUGGAGGUCAGCCAGUGGGAGGCCGUCCCAGGGAUAUGGUUCAGAGUGGUGGGGCCCAUCCCUGAUGUUAUGCUUUCCUAGCUAGGCUUGAGGCUGAGUCAUCCGAUGUUGUUAUCACAGGUACUGUUUCAGUUUGUAGUAAAAAUGCUUUAGUUCUAUUUGAUCCAGGGUCUACAUACUCCUAUGUGUCAUCUUACUUUGCUUCAUAUUUAGUUGUGCCUCGCAAUUCUUUGAGUGCUACCAUGUAUGUGUCUAUACCGGUGGAGGAUUCUAUUAUUGUAGACCGUGUCAUUCGUAUAUGGUUAUUAUUAGGGGUCUCGAGACUAGCGUAGAUCUCCUACUUCUUGAUAUGGUCGAUUUUGAUGUCAUUUUGAGGAUGGAUUGGUCGUCACCUUAUCAUGAUCUAUUGGACUAUCAUGCCAAGACAAUGACCUUAGCCUUGCCGGGGUUGCCUCAAUUAGAGUGGAGAGGGACUCCUGGUCAUUCUAAGAGAAGGCUUAUCUCUUAUAUGAAGGCUCGACAUAUGGUUGAGAAGGGGUGUUUGGCUUAUGUUCGUGAUUCUAGUACAGAAGUUCCUUCCAUGGAUUCUAUACCAGUGGUUCCGGAGUUUCCAGAGGUAUUUCCUGCAGACCUGCCGAGGAUGCCACCCGACAGGGAUAUUGACUUCUGUAUUGAUUUUGUUCCGGGCACUCAACCCAUUUUUAUUCCGCCAUACCAUAUGGCCCUGCCUGAGUUGAAAUAAUUGAAGGAGUAGCUGCAAGAUUUGCUUGAUAAGGGAUUUAUUAGACCUAGUAUCUCGCCUUGGGGUGCGCCGGUGUUGUUUGUAAAGAAGAAGGAUGGAUUGAUAAGGAUAUGCAUAAACUAUCGGUAUAUGAACAAAGUCACCAUCAAGAACAAGUAUCCAUUGUCGAGGAUUGAUGACUUAUUUGAUCAGCUUCAGGGUGCCAAGGUAUUUUCGAAGAUCGAUUUGAGGUCUGGCUACCAUCAAUUGAGGAUUAGGGCAUCUAAUGUCCCUAAGCUGUNNNNNNNNNNNNNNNNNNNNNNNNNNNNNNNNNNNNNNNNNNNNNNNNNNNNNNNNNNNNNNNNNNNNNNNNNNNNNNNNNNNNNNNNNNNNNNNNNNNNNNNNNNNNNNNNNNNNNNNNNNNNNNNNNNNNNNNNNNNNNNNNNNNNNNNNNNNNNNNNNNNNNNNNNNNNNNNNNNNNNNNNNNNNNNNNNNNNNNNNNNNNNNNNNNNNNNNNNNNNNNNNNNNNNNNNNNNNNNNNNNNNNNNNNNNNNNNNNNNNNNNNNNNNNNNNNNNNNNNNNNNNNNNNNNNNNNNNNNNNNNNNNNNNNNNNNNNNNNNNNNNNNNNNNNNNNNNNNNNNNNNNNNNNNNNNNNNNNNNNNNNNNNNNNNNNNNNNNNNNNNNNNNNNNNNNNNNNNNNNNNNNNNNNNNNNNNNNNNNNNNNNNNNNNNNNNNNNNNNNNNNNNNNNNNNNNNNNNNNNNNNNNNNNNNNNNNNNNNNNNNNNNNNNNNNNNNNNNNNNNNNNNNNNNNNNNNNNNNNNNNNNNNNNNNNNNNNNNNNNNNNNNNNNNNNNNNNNNNNNNNNNNNNNNNNNNNNNNNNNNNNNNNNNNNNNNNNNNNNNNNNNNNNNNNNNNNNNNNNNNNNNNNNNNNNNNNNNNNNNNNNNNNNNNNNNNNNNNNNNNNNNNNNNNNNNNNNNNNNNNNNNNNNNNNNNNNNNNNNNNNNNNNNNNNNNNNNNNNNNNNNNNNNNNNNNNNNNNNNNNNNNNNNNNNNNNNNNNNNNNNNNNNNNNNNNNNNNNNNNNNNNNNNNNNNNNNNNNNNNNNNNNNNNNNNNNNNNNNNNNNNNNNNNNNNNNNNNNNNNNNNNNNNNNNNNNNNNNNNNNNNNNNNNNNNNNNNNNNNNNNNNNNNNNNNNNNNNNNNNNNNNNNNNNNNNNNNNNNNNNNNNNNNNNNNNNNNNNNNNNNNNNNNNNNNNNNNNNNNNNNNNNNNNNNNNNNNNNNNNNNNNNNNNNNNNNNNNNNNNNNNNNNNNNNNNNNNNNNNNNNNNNNNNNNNNNNNNNNNNNNNNNNNNNNNNNNNNNNNNNNNNNNNNNNNNNNNNNNNNNNNNNNNNNNNNNNNNNNNNNNNNNNNNNNNNNNNNNNNNNNNNNNNNNNNNNNNNNNNNNNNNNNNNNNNNNNNNNNNNNNNNNNNNNNNNNNNNNNNNNNNNNNNNNNNNNNNNNNNNNNNNNNNNNNNNNNNNNNNNNNNNNNNNNNNNNNNNNNNNNNNNNNNNNNNNNNNNNNNNNNNNNNNNNNNNNNNNNNNNNNNNNNNNNNNNNNNNNNNNNNNNNNNNNNNNNNNNNNNNNNNNNNNNNNNNNNNNNNNNNNNNNNNNNNNNNNNNNNNNNNNNNNNNNNNNNNNNNNNNNNNNNNNNNNNNNNNNNNNNNNNNNNNNNNNNNNNNNNNNNNNNNNNNNNNNNNNNNNNNNNNNNNNNNNNNNNNNNNNNNNNNNNNNNNNNNNNNNNNNNNNNNNNNNNNNNNNNNNNNNNNNNNNNNNNNNNNNNNNNNNNNNNNNNNNNNNNNNNNNNNNNNNNNNNNNNNNNNNNNNNNNNNNNNNNNNNNNNNNNNNNNNNNNNNNNNNNNNNNNNNNNNNNNNNNNNNNNNNNNNNNNNNNNNNNNNNNNNNNNNNNNNNNNNNNNNNNNNNNNNNNNNNNNNNNNNNNNNNNNNNNNNNNNNNNNNNNNNNNNNNNNNNNNNNNNNNNNNNNNNNNNNNNNNNNNNNNNNNNNNNNNNNNNNNNNNNNNNNNNNNNNNNNNNNNNNNNNNNNNNNNNNNNNNNNNNNNNNNNNNNNNNNNNNNNAGAGAGAGAGAGAGUGGUUCUUCGGGUAUCACCCAUGAAGGGUGUGAUACGGUUUGGGAAGAAGGGUAAGUUAAGCCCUAGGUAUAUCGGGCCUUUUAAGAUCCUUGAGCGAGUGAGAGAUGUGGCCUACAGACUUGCAUUGCCACCAGGUUUAUCAACAGUACAUCCAGUGUUUCAUGUGUCCAUGCUUUGAAAGUAUCACGACGAUCCAUCCCAUGUGUUAUAUUUCAGCACUGUCCAGUUGGAGAAGGAUUUGACCUACGAGGAGAAGCUAGUAGCCAUUUUAGACCGGCAGGUUCGUCAGUCGAGAUCGAAGAGUUAGCCUUUGGUUCGAGUGCAGCAGAGAGUUCAACCAGUUAAGGCAGCACCUUGGGAGUCCGAGUCUGAUAUUCGGAGCAAAUAUCCCCACCAUUUCACCGAUUCAGGUACUUUUCUAUGGUCGUUCGAGGAUGAACAGUUGUUUUAGAGGUAGAGAAUGUGAUGACCCAAAAGGUCAUCUUAAGUUUUAGAACUCGAUUUCAUGUUCCGAGGCCUUCAAAAACUUAUUUUAUUCCUCCUCGAUUUGUGUGCAUAGUCCAGUUGUGUUUUCGGAAAGCCUUUAUGUGGAAAAUUGAUGAAAUAAUAAUUUUUGGAAUAAAAAGUUGAUUUUAGUUGACUUCGGUCAGCGUUUUGAGUAAACAGACCUGGACCCGUGUUUUGACGGUCCCGGUGGAUCCGUAGUAAAAUAUGGGACCUAGAUAUGCCCCGAAUUGAAUUCCGAGGUCCCUAGCCCGAGAAAUGAAUUUUUGAUGAAACUUAUAAGACUGAAAUUAUAAUGGUUUAAAGAAUUUUGGUGAUGUUUGAUUUGGUUAGUAUUGGGUCCGUAUUUUGGUUUCGGAGUCCGAUACAAGUCCGUUAUGAUAUUGAUAUCCUAUUUGUGAAAUUUGGUGAGAAACGGGACUGAUUUGACGUGAUUCAGACAUUCGGUUGAGAAAAUAGAAGUUUUAAAAUGUUCUUGAAAAUCUCAUGCAAUUUGGUGCUAAAUUCGUGGUUCUAGGUGUUAUUCUGGCAAUUUGAUCACACGAGUAAGUUUGUAUGAUAUUUUAAGACUUGUGUGCAUGUUUGGUUUGAAGCCCCGAGGGCUCAGGUGAGUUUCGGAUAGGCUACGGGGUGAUUUGAACUUACGAAUUUUUGUUGGUAUGCUUCAGGUCUAUUGACUUCGUAUUUGUGAAGUCUGGCUCACAAAUGCAAGCAUCGCAUUUGCGAAGAAAGUUUGCAUUUGCGAGCAAUGGGGCUGGGAGGGGACCUUUGCAAUUGCGAAGCUCAGGAUCGCAAUUGCGAUCAGUAUUGGCCGCAUUUGCGAACAAUUGUUCGCAUUUGCGAUGUUAGCAGGUCCAGGUCGGUCUUCGCAUUUGCGAGGCAAAGUUUACGUUUGCGAGGUUCGCAUUUGCGGACCCCUGAUCACAAAUUGAUACCUGCAACUGGUCAAAAAUGAUUUUGGAUGGGAUUUUUAAUCUAUUCUCCGAUUUUUCAAAACCUAAAACACAAGAGGCGAUUUUCAAAAUACUUUUUCUUCCCCAAAUCAUAAGCAAGUGAUUCUUAAGUAGUUUCUUUCAAUCUUUUACCUCUUUUUACAAUAUUUGAACCUAGAAUCUAAGGUUUUCAUGGUGGAAUUGGGGAUUUUUGGGUAGAAAUUAGGAAUUUUGAAAUUUGGGGAUUUAGACCUCAAAUUGAAGUCGGAUUCCAAAACUAAUUACAUAUUCGGGCUCGGGGGUGAAUGGGUUUUGGUCCGAACCUUGAGUUUUGACCAAGCGGGCCCAGGGUUUUUUUGACUUUUGGGGGGAAAUAUUGGGAAACAUAUAAUUAUGUAUUGAAAUUGAUUCCUUUAGCGACAAUUGAUGUUAUUAAGUUAAUUAUGAAUAGAUACGAGUGGUUCGGAGGUGGAAACUAGAGGAAAAACGGUAAUUGAGCUUUGUGUUAGCUGUUGGAUUGAGGUAAGUAUUUUGUCUAACUUCAACUCGAUGGAUUAGGGAUCCCCAACUUAAUUGCUAUGUGAAAAUCCAUGUGUGUGGCGUAUAGGUGAGGUGACGAAUACCUAUAUGCCCCCAAUUUAUCUGUUUUGACUGUUCCCUUCCCGUUCUUAAUAUAUUGUUCUCUGCCUUAACUACUACCUAUUUAACUGAUAUUUUCAUGAUUAGUUACUACUUGUCGGAUAUUGUUUUCGUUGUUAAAAGUAUUGGAUAUUACGUGGUUUCAUUGAUUCAUUUUAUUGGUUUAAGAUGGCUAUCAGUGUUUAUUAGUAUACUUUGAAUUGGUUUCACUGAGUAGUAUAAUUCAAGUGAAGUCUCAUAAUUUUACCGCUUUCCGUUUGUUUCAGUUGAGGUCGAAUACCAUGGGGAGUUUUGAGCCAAAUUGUGAAAUUUCUGUUCUUAUUGUGGGAUUGGUACUGAUAUAGUGGAAUCGGGUUGCAUGCCGCAAUAGGAGGAAUAAGGGUGAUAUAUUGAGGAGGAAUAAGGGUGAAAUGUUAUUAUAUGGUGGGAUCGGGUUGCACGCUGCAACAGGAGGAAUAAGGGUGGAUUUAUAUGAAUUAAUAAGGAUGAAUGUUCAUAGUGUUACUGAUUAUAUGGUGGGAUUGGGAUGCGCGCCGCAUCAAUUUAUUGUUUAUGUAUCCUUCCUCUCUGUGAAGUUAUUCUGUAGUUUUGUAUCUCACUUAAGAGUUGGUUAUUAGUGGGUACUAAUAAGAUAUUUGAGUUCUGUAUUCAUUUUUUUGUUUCAAGUUACAGUUUCAUUUUGUUCUUUUUCUUUUUAUUACAUACUGUAUGUAGGUUAUAUUGUAAUUGCCCCGCCGUAGCCUCGUCACUACCUCAUCGAGGUUAGGCUCGGCACUUACCAGUACAUGGGAUCGAUUGUACUGAUACUGCACUCUGCACUUUAUGUGCAGAUUUCGGAGCAUGUAGUGGCUGAUUGAGAGAUUGGUUGUAGGUUCACGGUUUGGAGACCCAAGGUAGUCCUGUUGGCACCCGCAGGCCCUGGCGUCCCCUUCUACAUUUCUACAUUUCUAUUUUUUUUCGUUUCAAAAUAGAUUUAAUUUCUUUCAGACCGAUAUUUUUAGUAAUUCAUAGUAUGUUCGUGGAUUGUGAUACCAGAUUCUGGGUAGUAGUAAUAGCUAUGGUACUGUUAAUAGUAUAUAGACAAAAGGUUAUUUAUGUACUUCCGCAUUUACUUCUACUUGAUUUAGUUUGUUAAAUUUUAAUCUAUGAAUGUAAAGGAAAAAGGUUAAUAGAACUCUAACAUUGGCUUGCCUAGCGAGUGUGAUAUUAGGCACCAUCACGGUCCCGAUGGUAGGAAUUCUGGAUCGUGACAAUUCCUAAGAUGAUGGACAGGAAUAUUCUAUUGAAUAUUCCCCCAUAUUGUACUUUCUUAGGGCUCUCGAGCGAUAUUCCUUAUAAAUAGGAAGAGAGAGGAAACAAAAAGCGGAUUCGGAACUUUUAUGAAAGAACAUCUUGUAAAGAAUUGACUAUCAAGAAUAUACAAAAAACUUGUCUCUUUAGAUUCCAUCACUUUUGUUUGAAUAUAAAUAGGACACAUCUUUAGUUCUCCUUUUGUUAUCUCUUUUGUUUGAUUCCAUCACAUAACAUUCCUCUUUAGUUCACAAGAUCCAAGGACACAUAGUUCACUUCUAUUAUCUGCUGUCACACGUUGCCUCAGAAGAAGGAAUCAUCCACCUUACCCAACAUUUGGGUGACAUAUUCCUUCUUAUUACAUUAAAUUCCAUUUAUCACAUUUAUUGCAUGUUUUCAUUCUCAUAUUUAUUACUAAUCAUUGAGCAUUAACUUGGCAUUUAUUGACUUGAACACGGUCCCACACCAUCUAAGUUGUUUAAUUUCAGAUCUGAAAUUUAUUACUUUUAACUUGGAUUUACCCCUUGUCCAUUUAUUAAAUUGGUUUAACUAAAAGGGCUUAAUACUUUUGGGUCAAAUAAUGUGGCGCCGUCUGUGAGGAAUUCCUAGUUAAAAUGUUUAGUUUCUUCUAGAUCUAAAAAACACAACAAAAGCUCCUUUUUUCUUGGUUGCACGAGCUAACAAUGGCAGGAAAAUGGGAGGAUAGAAUGAAAGUAGUGAUGGGUGUCACCACCAAUCUCCUAGGUACCAUCAACGAGGUAGACAGGGAAGACGAGGAGAACGUGACGCCAAGCGUCUCACCCAGGCAAAGUGAUUCACCUCCUCCUUAUGGGAGUGUAACCGCUUCACAUGAGAAGGGAGCCUCUACGUCCACAACGGAAGAAGCAUCACCCGUAGUAAAAAAAGUUAUUGGAGGCGUGGUGACAAGUACCCUAAGCAGUAUACUCGACAAACCCGCUCAAGAGGCGAGUAGGAACACCGCACGAGUCGGCACCCCAAUAACCAUCAAUGAGCAACACGUUCCUCCCCCAACAAGUAAACCCUCACACUAAUGUUGAUGCAGGUAACGACGCCCUCAUAGUUGUUCUGAAGAAAAGGGAAUAAAUGGAGAAUGAGAAUAAAAUGCUCCACGACCAAAUGAGGAAGCACCAAAAAAGAGUUGAUAAGAUACCAAGCUCCCCGAAACUCCUACCAAAACGGGACGUCGGCCAAUUCGUGGAGCAGCCAUACAAUGAGGAGGCAGCCCCACAUGCCAUACCCAAAACCUUCAAAAUGCCACCAUACCUAAAAAUAUUCGACGACACAUCGGACCCUAAAGACCAUAUCAUUCAUUAUGUCACGACGGUAAAAGGCAACGACCUUUCGAAAGAGUAGGUACCGUCAGUGCUGCUGAAGAAGUUCGGUGAAACCCUAAUAGGGGAGCCUUAACAUGGUACUCACAAUUACCAACAUGCUCCAUAAUGACAUUUGAGGAAAUGGCCGACAAGUUCGUCACCGCCCAUGUUGGGGCCAAGAAAGCAGAAGCCAGAGUGAAUGAUAUAUUCAUCGUCAAACAAUCGCCUGGCGAAGGGCUCAGGGACUUCCUUGCCUUGUUCAAUAGGGUAAGAAUGAGCAUGACUAACAUAUCAGAAGGGAUAGCAGUAGCGGCCUUUCAAAAUGGGUUAAAUAGGAACGGAUCGAGGGCGACAAGAAAAUUACUAAAUAGACUCAUGAAAUACCCUCCCACCACCUGGGAAGAAAUUCACAAUGCUUACUAUGCCGAGGUGAGAGCAGAUGAGGACGACCUUAAUGGUCCAACCCAACGACUAACGACAGUCCAAAUGGAAUCAAGGAAAGAUCGUCGGAACGACAGCCGAAGAGAUCAAGAAGGUCCACACCUCAACCGGGAAAGGCACCAACCGUACAUCAGAACGACUGCCCUACUACCUCUCCGCCAAGCUGAAGGGUCGUCCAGGCCACAAACGGGAACUCACCAAAAUGAAAGAGGUAUGCCUCCACUUUUAUCUGCUCACAAUUUUUGUAUUUCUUUUUCAUAAAUAGUUUAUGCCUAGGAGAAUCUCAGUCCCAAGGUGAAAUGGCCACAAAAUAUGAAGUUGGACCCAAAUUCCAGAAAGUCGAAUGCCCUCUAUGAGUUCCUUCAGGAACGAGGCCACAAGACCGAGGAUUGCAUAGCCUACGACAAGAAGUAAUGAACAUGAUCCACCAAGGACAUUUAAAGGAGCUGAUGAGCGACCGAGGGAGAGCCAAUUUCGCCCGUGGACGAGAACCACAUCAAGGCCCCCCAAAGCUACCCUUCCCCGCCCGCACCAUCCAAAUGAUCAUUGGCGGAGGCGAUAAAGCAACAAUCAACCAUGUGAAGUUCACCACCACACACAAAUUGAAGCAGUCGAUCACCCAUGAACGAUAUGAUGACCUCGAAUACAGUAUCAUCUUUGAUAAGUCAGAUAUCCACGAUUUGACCUUUCCUCAUUUCGAUGCUAUUGUCAUUACUUUACAAAUUUUAGAUACCGAUGUAAAAAGAAUCAUGGUAGACAAUGGAAGCGGCGCGUGUAUUAUCCACUCCAGAAUUUUCACACAAAUGAGACUCGAGGAUGAGAUAGUUCCACGUUGCAUAACAGUAACAGGUUUUAACAAUGCAGUUGAACGAACCUCCGGAGAGAUAACACUGCCCGUUCUAGCCGGGGGCGUCACCCUGGAAACAACAUUCUAUGUCAUGAACCAAGACACAACCUACAACGCCAUUAUAGGGCGACCUUGGAUACACGCCAUGAGGGCCAUCCUGUCCAGUUUAUAUCAGGUCAUCAAGUUCCCUACCCCAUGGGGAAUAUUCAGCAUCCACGGGGAACAACACACAGCUAAAGAAUUCUAUCGCAUCUCCCAAGAUUGCACAUACACUCAACAGUUAAGAGAGGAAGGCUCAGGAGCAUAGAAAUUACCGAAGUCGGGGCCCAAGUCUGAUGAACAAACAGACGUCAUCAGAGACCCCGACGUCGUAGAAGCCACAUGGUCAAUAGUGGAAGACCUCAACCCCGUCCAGCUGGACGAAAGAGACCAUAACAAAAAAGCCUACAUCGGCCACAAACUCACAGAACCAGGUAAAUUUCAUAAAUUUUUAAAUAACAACGCCGAUCUGUUUGCUUUCUUCCAUGCAGAUAUGCCAGGUAUCCUAAAAGACAUUGCAACACACAAGCUGAAUGUCGAUCUACUCUACCCGCUGGUACGACAAAUCAGAAGAAAGUUCAAUGCUGCAAUCAACAAGGCUGUCCACGAAGAGGUAGAAAAAUUGCUCGACAACGGUUCCAUUCAAGAGUCAAAGUACCCCCAAUGGGUCGCCAACGUCGUCAUGGUGAAAAAAGGGGAAAUGGCGCAUGUGCGUAGACUUCACGGACCGAAACAAAGCCUGCCCGAAUAACUUCGACCUGUUUCCUCACAUCGAUCAGCUCAUCGACGCAACAGUGGGACACGAGUUAUUAAGCUUCUUCGACACCUACUCAGGCUACAACCAAAUCCUAAUAGAGGAGGAGGACAAAGAAAAAACCACCUUCAUCACCUAUCAAGGGACGUACUGCUAUAGAGUCAUGUCGUUCGGGUUGGAAAAUGCAGGGGCAACUUAUCAGAGGCUGGUCACCAAGAUGUUCAAAGAGAAACUCGGCAAAAUAAUGGAAGUCUAUAUAGAUGACAUAUUAGUCAAAUCAAAAAGAAAAGAGGAACAUAUCGACCACCUGAGGAAAGCCUUCGACACACUUAGACGAUACAAUAUGAAGCUGAACCACGAAAAGUGUGCUUUCGGCGUGACCUCGAGGAAGUUCCUCAAUUUUUUGGACCCUGACCAGAUCAAGGCUAUAGAGGGAAUACCUAAAAUUUUGACCAGCAAGAAACAAGUACAGAAGUUGACCGACCGUAUAGCCGCCCUGUCAAGGUUUAUCUCACGAUCCUCUGACAUAUGCCACAAAUUUUUCAACGUGCUCAAAAAGGACAACGGACUCCAGUGGAAUUCCUAAUGUGUCCAUGCCCUAAGAGAUCUAAAGGCAUACUUGUCCUCGCCCCCAUUGCUCGCUAAGGCAGAACCAGGCGAACAUCUCUGAAUCUACCUGGCCAUAUCUAACGUCGUAGUAAGUGCAGUCUUGGUGCGUGAAAAUAAAGGUACGCAAUCUCCAAUCUAUUACAUUAUCAAAACCCUGGUCGAUGCUGAAACGAGGUAUCCCCACCUCGAAAAAUUGGUUCUGGCAUUAGUUGUAGAUUCACGAAAGCUGAGACCCUAUUUUCAAUGCCACCCCAUCUCGGUGGUCACGACCUUUCCCUAAGAAGCAUCUUACAUAAACCCGAGCUAUCAGGUAGAUUGGCCAAGUGGGAUAUCGAAUUAAGCAAGCAUGAUAUAACAUAUCAGCCGCGAAUAGCGAUAAAGUCGCAAGUACUCACCGACAUAGUCACCGACUUUAAUGCCAAAAUACUGCCUGAGGUCGAGCAGGAAGCCGCACGUACCUCCCCAAGUUACUUGACCUAUGCGUCCUGUACACCGAUGGUGCCUCCAACACGUCAGGAUCUGGACUGGGACUCAUGCUCGAGGUCCUAACAGGCGAAGUCAUUUUCCAAUCCAUAUGGUGUCCCGACAUUACUAACAAUGAGGCCGAGUAUGAGGCCGCAAUUGCAGGACUGAAACUAACUCUCAAGUAUGGAGCAUGAUGAGUCAUCCUUCGAUGUGAUACACAACUCGUCGUCAACCAAGUCAUAGGGACUUUCCAAAUCAAAGAACAAAGGCUACAAAAAUAUCAGGCAGAAUUCAUAACCUACUGCUCGAGUUCGAUGAGUGCCAACUCGACCAAAUACCGCAAGCACAAAACAUCGAAGAAGACGGCCUCGCCAAAUUAGCAGCAACCACCAAGAACAUAAACAGAAAAGAAAACGUGAUCACCCUCCUUCAUUCGUCAAUAGACCAAAUUGAGGUAGGCACUAUAAACUUGACUUGGGACUGGUGCAACCAUAUUAUGUCAUAUUUUCAUGAUGGAGUGCUCCCACUUGACAAAAAAAGCCAAAAAGCUUCGAAUGUAGGUGGCCUAAUACAGCGUCAUCAACCAUGAGCUGUACAAAAGAACAUUUGGCGGUCCCUUGGCGAAGUGCCUAGGACCAAACCAAACUAGGUGCAUCCUCGAAGAAGUACACGAAGGACUGUGGAGCACAUACCGGUAAUCGAGCCCUCGGUAGAUGCUCCAUACAGGCAGGCUAUUAUUGUCCCACCAUGAAAAAGGAAGUUGUCGACUUCAUUAGAAAGUGUGAACAAUGCCAAAAAUAUGCUCCAAUGAUCCACUAGGCGGGCGACCACCUCCACUCUGUCACAUUGCCUUGGCCAUUCAUCAAAUGAGGUAUGGACAUCGUCGGACCCCUUCCAGCAGGACGAGGUAAUAUACGAUUUCUUUUAGUUUUAACUGACUAUUUUUUUGAGCGGGUAGAAGUAGGUGCAUUCGCCUAAAUACACGAAUAGGAAGUUAUCACAUUCAUAUGGAGGAACAUCAUAUUCCACUUUGGCAUCCCCAAAGAAAUUAGUUGUGACAACGGACCCCAAUUCACCAGAAAAAAGACCUCCGAUUUCUUCGAGAAAAGGCACAUCAAGCGAAUACUCUCCAUGCCAUAUCAUCUCGCAAGCAAUGGUCAGGCGGAGUCCUCCAACAAAAUAAUAUUGAACAUCAUGAAGAAGAAGCUUGAGGACGCCAAGGGACUGUGACCGAAACUGCUAUCAGAAGUGCUAUGAGCUUAUCACACCACACCCAAAACAAGCACAUGAGAAAUGCCAUAUUCACUAGUCUAUGGGACUGACGUAGUGAUACUAGUCAAAGUUGGGGAACCAAGUUUGAGAUACUCCAACGAGGGCGGACCAAGUAACGAUGAAAGAAGAAAGCAAGACCUCGACGAAAUAGAUGAGUGAAGAGACAUGGCCUGCAUAAGAAUGAUAGCUCAAAAACAGCAAGCAGAAUGGCACUGCAACAAAAAAGCCAAAGUCAGACCACUUAAGGUAAGGGACUAUGUACUCAAAGCCAUAACAAAAACGAGCAAAGACCCACGAAAAAGACAAACUGGGAACCAAUUGAGACGGAGCAUACAAAAUCACGGCAACAACAAACAAAGGAUCAUUCCAACUAGAAACAAUGGAGGGAAAACUACUACCAAACAAUUAGAAUGUCACCCUUCUCAAAUACUUCAACUUCUGAAGAUGAACGUCCUCCAAGUUGUACUCUUUUCCCCUCACCCAAGUCUAAUCCCAAAUGGGUUUUCUCGGAGAGGUUUUUAAUGAGACGAUGAAGGGGGCAUCUCGAAGUUUAGGUAUUAAGUUCACAGCCCGCCUAUCGACUACUUCUCUAGGCCGAGCAAAGAAGGAACUAGAUAGAUUGGGACACCUCAAAUGUGUGGACUGAAAAGAAAUAUGUAAUAUUCUUCAAUGAAUAAACAAAGUAGUAUGACCCAAAUUUACACAAUCAUGCCAACGCAAAGGAAAUGUACAUUCGAUAUCACUCGAAUUAUUUUCUAAGUUUACAUUCGACCUUGCUCGAAUUAACAUACAUUCGACCUCUCUCGAAUUAACAUACAUUCAACCUCGUUCGAAUCGAUAUACAUUCGACAUCGCUCGAAUUAACAUACAUUCAACCUCGUUCAAAUCGAUCUACAUUCGACCUCGUUCGAAUUGAUCUGCAUUUGACCUCGUUCGAAUUGAUAUACAUUUGACCUCGUUCGAAUCGAUCCACAUUCGACCAUGCUCGAAUUAACAUAUAUUCAACCUCGUUCGAAUCGAUAUACAUUUAACCUCGUUCGAAUGAAUAUACAUUCAACCUCAUUCAAAUCGAUCUACAUUCGACCUCGCUCUAAUUAACAUACACUUGACCUUGCUCGAAUCGACCUACAUUCGAUCUCGCUCGAAUUAACUCACAAUCGACCUCAUUCGAAUCUCACUCAAAUUAUUUUCUAAGUUUACAUUCGACCUUACUCGAAUUAACAUACAUUCGAGCUCUCUCGAAUUAACAUACAUUCGAUCUCUCUUGAAUUAACAUACAUUCGACCUUGUUCGAAUCGAUAUACAUUCUACAUCGCUCGAAUUAACAUACAUUCAACCUUGUUCGAAUCAAUCUACAUUAUACCUUGUUCGAAUCGAUCUACAUUCGACCUCGUUCGAAUCGAUCUACAUUCGACCUCGUUCGAAUCGAUAUACAUUCGACCUCGUUCAAAUAGAUCUAUAUUCGACCUCAUUUGAAUCGAUUUACAUUCGACCUUGUUCGAAUCGAUCUACAUUAGACCUCGCUCGAAUUAACGUACAUUCGACCUCAUUCGAAUCGAUAUACAUUCGAUCUCGUUCGAAUCGAUCUACAUUCGACCUCGCUCGAAUUAACAUACAUUCGACCUUGCUCAAAUCGACUACAUUCAACCUCUCUNNNNNNNNNNNNNNNNNNNNNNNNNCAUCAAGAUCUGCACGUGUCUUGACACAAACAUCCUCAAAUUCUGCCUCGAAAAUCUUCCCAGCCGUUUUCAGAGACCUAUAUAUGUCAAGUUGGGCCUCAACAUGAGCCCAAAUUGCAUACAACUCCCGUGACACACUGGGAUCGGUAUAAUUAUAAGAUGUAGAUGGCUGGGCCUGCUGUUGCGCCUUCCCGGCUCUUAGAGUGACAACUUGCUCAUUCAGCUCAAACAGUUUCGCCUCCAAACCCUCAAUCCGCUCCUUUAACCUCGCCUCCUUGAGCGCCAAAGAUUCUGCCUCAGUAGCCCGCUCAGACCUACAAACACGGAGGGCACCCUCUAGGGCUUCCACCUCCGCCAUAGUGAUCACAGCCUACUCCGCAAUACUAAAAAGUAGGAAGAGAGGGUCGCAAUAGCUUUUACCCGAUUUGUGGGUCGGGAUCGAUUUCCAUAGAGAGCUAGGAAGAGUCAGGUAUCUAUUUAGGUUGGAAUUGCAUAUUGGUUCCAAAUAUCACUUCUAAUCAUUUUUGGGUUUUCUUUGUAAAUCUACUAAUUAUCAAACUACAAGUAUAAUUGCAACUAGAUGAAGCUACGAGUAAAUUGUUACAAGUUGUACCUAAUGGUUUAAAAGUCACUAGGGUAGUGGCAUCCUCCUAGGUGGUCAAUUGAUGGGUAAUUGAACCUAAGGCAUGAUUGACAUGAUUGGGGAAUAUGCUAUAACCAUUGCACGAUUUUACCCACUAUCACACCUCUCGGUAGAGAGAGUGAUUUUGCCCAAUUGACUUUCUCAAGACCAACAUGGUAGGCAAAUUUGCUCAAGCAACUAGGGUUCAAGUCGGAUAUUACUCUCUCGAGGUUUAACCCUUUAAUUGGGACUAUCAAUUCUCUUGAGUCCAUUCCAAUUCCUUGUUGGGUUAAUUUCGGAGACUUAGGCUCUAUUUCUCAUGAAGAGCCCAAGUCAACUUAGCACAAACUAGUGUUUGCAACCACUAAUUCAUAGAUUAAACCAUGAAAUUGAUCCAAAUAACAAACACCCAUAGUCAAUCUAACCUUAAAUCACAACACCCAUCAAUUACCCACACUAGGGUUGAGCCACAAUCCUAGUUAAUGAGUUUAGCUACUCAUGCUUGAAGAGAAGAACAGAGAAAUAGAUGAAGAUAAAGACAUAUUAAUUAAUUACUAAGGUAAAUACAAAGAUUCAAUGAUAACAACUAAGUAAAAAUGCCUAAAAUGGCUAAGAAAAGUCUUCUCACGAGCGCAACUAACGUCUGAUAAUAUAUGAUACCCUAAAAAUGAAAAAAGUUCAAUUUAUACUAAGCUGGAAAAACUGGACAAAAUUGCCCCUGCGGGGUUAGUGCGGACCGCACAAAAUGGUGUGUGGUCGCACUAGGCUCUUGAACUUGCAAUCUUGAUUCUCUGAACCCAGGCUCCGCGGACCGCACAAAAUGGACUGCGACCGCGGAGGCUUUUAGCGCGGUCCGCACAAAGUCGACCGCGGACCGCACAUGCCUGAACCUCUGAACUUAGCAUCUCUCUGAACCUUGUCUCUACGGACCGCACAGAAUGGGAGUGCGGCCGUA